rnacentral:lncRNA from 1 species
GUGUUAAAAUGUGAAGUAUUCUUUUUACUAAUGUUUAACAUACAUAAUAACUAUUAUUUAUAAUUACAGAUUGAAGCUGCAAUUGGUAAUAAUGAACCUAUAUCUGAAGCCCUUAAGUGGAUAGCUCAUGGUCCUAGCCAUUAUGUCUCUAAAUAUCAUGGAUAUGUCAUUAAUGGGUGUCGAUACCAUACCAAGGAAUGAGAUGACUUACGAGCUACCCAAAAUAGUGGAGUUAGUAUUGUAGCUUCAACAAUGCAAAUCGCAAGUGCAAAGGAUCAAAAUCCAGUGUUUGGUGAGCUUUGUUUCUAUGGCAUUAUUACCGAGAUCUGGGACCUUGAUUAUACCAUGUUUAGGAUACCGGUUUUCAAGUGUGAUUGGGUUGAUAAUAAAAAUGGCAUAAAAGUUGAUGAUCUUGGCUUUACAUUAGUUGACUUUAGCAAAAUUGCUCAUAAAUCAGAUCCUUUCAUUUUGGCAUCCCAAGCUAAGCAAGUAUUUUAUGUGCAAGACCAACUUGAUCCAAGAUGGUCGGUUGUUUUAUCAACCCCUCAAAAAGAUUUCUUGGAUAUGGAAGGAGGUGAAGACUUUGUUGACAAUUCGAUUGAACACCAUCCCUUUAUAGGGGCAUUGCCACAAAUUGAAGCGUUUGAUGUAAUGGAUGACUCAAAUGCAACAUGUAUGCGAGGCGAUUGUGAGGGGAUUUGGAUUGAGAACAAAUCCUCUAUGUAGCUGUAUUUUAAUGCUAAUGUAUGAAUAAAGGCCAUGGAAUGGGUUGCAACAACCACAAAAUAGGUAAUUUUUAUCCUUUCUUUAUUUUUUUGCACAAAAUAUUGACCAUUCUUUAACAUCUCCCAAUAACAUAUUUACUAAAACCUUUUCCCUAAAUUGUGCAUGGAAGAUACUAAAUUAGUUAUGUUUGUGAGUAAAAAAAUUAUGAAAUUUUUUAUUAUCAAUAUGCAUGUUGUGUUUUCCAAACUUAAUGUAACACAAAUCGAUAGUCCAAAAGCUUUCAUAAGUUCUUAUGGACUUGAUGAACUUGUUGAAACCACGUGCUCCUUCCAUGUUGAUUCUUAUAGGAAAUUCCUACUGCAAAUUUAGCUUUCUUAUACAAAGGCCCUUGGGUUGCUUAAAAUAAAUGAAAUGUUAAACAAAGCGGGACAAAAAAAAGUUUAAAUGAAGUGUUAUCCUUGUUAUAUGAUGAACAAUUCUAAAAACAUCUAUUGAAUUCAUGAUCUAUUGCAUUUCAUUGUGCAAUGAUUAUGGAUUUGUUUCUUUGAAAAGUUAUGUUUUACAAUUAUUCUUUGACUAGGUUAUAUGCAAUAUAAUUUUAACUAAUCUUUAUCAUUUUUUUUUUUUUUUACAAGAAUGGAGACAAAGGAAGGAGAAAAACCCAUAAAAAGGAAGUACAGAGGGAUGACACGGAAGCAUAUGAUUAUAAAAAACAGAAGCAAGGGGGUUAAGUUGCCGGUUAAGUACAAUCUUAAUGGCAUUUUCAUAGGAGAAUCAGGAGUUCAUCUAACAAGCUACUUAGGCGUGUUAGCACACACUAUGGUGCCAAUAAGAUAUAAAACUUGGCAUGUUGUACCUAAACAGUUGAAGGAUAAGUUAUGGGACAACAUUGAGGUAACCAUUUUUUAUUUAAAUCAUUUUGAUGCAAAAUGUCUAUCAUUCUUAACCUCUUGAAAUUACUAAAGUUUGGUAUUAAUGUGCAGACUGCUUUUCAUUAAAUCAUAAAAGCAGGAGGAAUUGUAUGUUAACAAUGGGAAAAUGCUUUCGGUCCUUUAAGAACUUGCUAACAGUGAAGUACAUUCUUCCUUUCGAAGACCAACCAGAGCUCCUCAAAAGACCACCAAUUCAAUAUACUUUUAUUGAGGAUGAAGAUUGGACAAUAUUUGUCAAAGAUAGAUUGUCUGACAACUUUAAGGUAUAAUUAAGACUCUUUACAUACCUCUUAUUCACAUUCAUUAAUUAUAAAAUUUUAAUUUAUAGGAAUAUCGAGAAAUUCAAAAAGAAAGAAGAAAGAGAAACAUUUAUAAUCACCAUCUAAGUAGGAAAGGAUAUGCCGGUCUUGAGGAAGAGAUGGUAAGUGUAAGCCUAUUAAUUGUUUUUUAUUUAUUUUAUGCAUAAUACAUAAUAGGGUUAUAUGAUAAUUAUAUUAUACAUUAACCUAUUUUGAAAUAUGGUUGCAAGUGGAUCAACUAAAACUAUUGAUCGAAGCAUAUUGUGGAAGAAAGCAAGGGAAAAAAAGGACGGCACCUUUGAUGAAGUGGCCAUACCAGUAAUUGAGAAAAUAGUAAGUGAAUAUUUUUCAAUUUUAAUUACAUAUAUUUAUAAUAAGUUAUUUACAAUAACAAAUUUGCAAUUUAACUUUAUAAUUAAUAUUUUUUAAGGACAAGCUAUUGAAAGAGUCUCAAGAGAAUGGUAGAAGUGUUAGUAGAAGUAAUGAUAUACUCGUGGAAGCAUUGGGUACUCCUGAGUAUAGUGGUCGAGUUAGGGCCAAAGGGAAGCACGACACACCUCGCCAAUAUUUCAAUAGUGUUGCAGAUUGUGCUGUCAGGGAUUUCAUAGCAGCAUCUAAAGAAGAACAAAGAAUAUUUCAGGUAGAAGUGCUAGCAAAACUAUCGCAAGUAGGAGUUGUUACUCCCCAAUCUGAUGUUAGCAGUUCAAACAUGAAGCAAAAACAACUUCUCCUACCAGAAGCAGUGGAUAAGCCAAUCCGUAAAGUUGAAGAUGUGACCCCACCAGAAGCAAUAGAACCACAGAAGAAGGUAUUUAUUCAGUUAAGCUAAUUUGAUGACAAAGUUUCCUCUAAUACGAGAAAUAAUUUAACUUAAUUUUUUUGUUUGAAUUUACUUCAAAUGUUGGUGGCAACAUAUAUGGUCUUCUUUGAUGUGGCAACAUAUAAUAGGAUAUGUCUAAAUUAUGGGUUGAGUUAUAUGCAAUGGACUGAAAUGUUAUCAUGCAAGUUUGUUGCAAUUGAAUGUAAAUGAAAUUGCAUUUAUCAUUGUAAUAGAAGCUAUAAGGUGAUUGAUGAUGAUAAUGCAUUUAUGUUAGUUUUGUAUAAACCCACUAAUAUUGAAGUGAUUAUUGUGAAUUGAGUUUUGUAGGUUAGAAAAUGUGAGCUGGCCAUAGGCACCAAGGAAAAUAUAGUGGCAAGUGGAACAAUUAUACUUGAAUGUGGUCCCAACUAUUUAGUAGUUGUUGAUGCUCCUUAUGAUUCAAGUGCACCCCUUCCCAUUCCUAUUCCUGGACAAACUACUACUGUUGGGGCUGCAAUUGGUUACCAAGUUUUGUGGCCAAAUGAUUUGGUCAUCAUCCGUACUCCCAUCUUAGUAAGUAAAUUUAAUUACCAAACUUUAUAAUGACUUUAUAUAUCUAUAUAUAUAUAUAUAUAUAUAUAUAUAUAUAUAUAUAUAUAUAUAUAAACUAGUUAAUUUGAUUUGUACCAUGGUUCUUUAUUGUACAGGCAUCUAAGAAAGCAAAGAAACAAAAAGUAAAUGAAGUUGAAGUCAAAUCCAAGGGUGAAAAACCACAAGAUAUGAAAAAUUUUGAGACAUUGGUUGGCCUCAUGCUGAGUACAUCAAGAACACACCCUAUAAACUUCCCAAGUGAUGUUUUUGGUGAGAGUUUCAAGACCUUCAUGAUGAAAGAAGAUAUGGAAAUGAUAAUAUCAUCAAAAGAAGUGUCAUCCAAUUGUAUUUUAUACUACAUAUGGUAAGGGAUUUUAUAAUUUUUGAAUGACUUUUCACAAGAUUAUGAGAUAGAAGGUUAUUUUCUAAUGACCUAUAAUGAUUGUUGAUAACUUGUCAUGUGGGUUAUAACCAGGCAUUUGCAUAGAAAGUUGAUUGAUGUAAAGCAGGCCGAACGAUAUGUUUUUGUCAAUCCAGCAUUGGUCUCAAAAGCUGGAAUGGGAGAGGGAAGCAAGGAAAACAGGUCAAGGGUUAUUGCAGAUCGACUAAAGAAUACAAAGCAUGCUGAAUUUAUGCUUAUUCCAUACAACCCAGAGUAACCUUUUAUCCUAAAUAUCAAUAUGGUGUUUGUAAGUUAGUUUGUGAUGUUUGAAUUUGUGGAUACUAUAUUACAAUUUUCAUUUCUUUUCUUUAGUUUCCAUUGGGUGUUAGUGGCAUUGGAGAUGAAGAAAAUGAUUGCAUAUUACCUUGAUCCAAUGGUCUGUCAACCAUGUGAUGAUCUUAAGGACAUAGUUAACAUGUAAGUAUAUAUUUUCUCCUAUUUUAAUACAAUUGAUAGUGUCUAAAUAACAUCUUUUUAAUUCGUUUUAUAGGGCAAUGAGAAUCAACCCACCGGAAAAACAGAAAACAUCAAAGAGGGAGCCAACUUGGGUGAAAGUGGUUGUAAGUACUUAUUUGUUUAGAUUAAAAUAUAUUGCUUCACCACUUAAUUUAUGACAAAAUUAGAAAAUGGAUGGUUAUUAAUAUGAUCAUCAAUAAGAUGCUAAAGAAGUAAGAACAUCAUUCUAGUGUUUAUUGCAAUUGUUGAUACUUUUCCCAUAGUGCCCAAGACAACUAGGUAGUGUGGAAUGUGGGUAUUACGUGAUGAGAUAUAUGAAGGAAAUCAUUGCUAAUCCAAACCAACUAACAUCAAAGGUUUGCACUCAAUUCAAUUCAUAUGGUUGGUCAUUUUACUAUAGCAUUUUUUUUUUUUUUGGUCAAUUGAACUUAGUGAAUUGUAUAUAUCACUCCAAUUCAGUUUUGCGGGAAGAAAUCAUAUAGUGAAAUGGAAAUUAAUGAAGUUCAAUCAGAUUGGGUUAUGUUAGUGACUCAGUUAAUCAUUACUCAUGUUUGAAGGUACCUCUUAUAACUUAUAGUCUAAUACAACUUCAUAUUCUUUUAAAGAUGUAGUCAAUAUUUUGUUAAUGUUAAUUUUAUAAUGGAUUUAUUCACAAUGAUAAUUUGUUAAUGUAUAUCUUUGUACUCCUAGUUGGCAGUGUUUUCAAUAUGGAUCAUUUUGGGGGUUGCUCUAUUAUGAUUGAUGUAUAGUUGGCAUAUUGAGAGGUGAAGCCAAGUAGACAUGGUAGGUGUAACAACUUUUGUAUAUUUCCUCUACAAAUUAUUAUCAGUUAGAUUUGGAGAAAUCCUACAAUAGCAUAGCUACAAAAAUUCCUGCAUGUCCAAGCUCAUUUUCGUAGAGCCUUUAGUUUCAUUACAUAUGCAUGAAUUAGGAAUUUGUCUAUUCUCUACAAAAGAAUUUUUGGUCUUUAAGAUUACUAGCUUUAUAAGCUUCUUUAAUCUCAAUUUAUAAAGGUCUCCUACUAUACUAAUGGGCUUAAAGUCUAUAAUAUCUUGUACUUCCAUUUUCUUUUACAUAAAAAAUAGGAAGUUAGUUUAAGACUUCUUAUAAAUAAGCCUAUGGAAGGAAAUAGCACCUCUUACUAAUUGGUUGUUAAAUUGUUUAUUAUAUAUUCUUCAGGUUGUACAAAAAGGCAUAGGUCAUUCUAUUAACAACAUCACUACUGCUCUUGAUGAAGGACACCCACAAACAAUUCAAAACAUAUCAUCAAAAGAAUUUUGAGGUAACAUGUUGUGGUUAUUGUAAGUUUUAUGAAUCAAUUCCAUGUUUAGAGAUCAUUUCAUGCAAGUUCCAUAUUUAGAUAAUAGAUAUCCUCAUAUUAUUAAAUGUUGACAUACUAAUACAAUAAGAAGAACAUAGAUAUUUUAACACAAUUUUAUAAUUUUACAUAAAUAUGUUAAUUUACAAUUUUAUAAUUUUUCGGACUUCUAGUUUUUUUUGUUUUUUUUUUUCAUUCCUUAGUUCCUUCUCAUGCAAAACAUCUAAUGUCUUGUACAACCUAUAAGAAGAAUGAGAAGAUGUUAAUGGUUGAAGUUUCAUAAAUAAGAUAAAAAUCAUACCAAAAUAGUCGAUGAGAUAAAAACUUUUUUUUAAAAAAAAAAAAAAAAUAGAAUAAGAGUUCUAAAAUAUUUAGAAAUUUGGUGUAAUAAAAUUAUUGGAGUUUGUUGAGUUCUUUUGAUAUUUUGAAAUUUAUUGCAAUGGAAGAAAGAUAUUUUGGAAAUUUAAAAUUGGCAUAUACACAUUUCAUUUACAAAGUUGCUUCUUAACUAUUUGUUAAUACUAAUAAAUAUGUAACCCUCUCAAUUAUUUUGCAGAUUGAGCAUCUAGAAAGUGAGUUACAACCAUCCUUUUGCACUUGGAAGAAAAAUGAUGUAAAACUAGAUGUAGUGAAGGUUAUGAACAAUUCAAAGUUGAAGAAGAAGUUGUAAAAUUGUUGGUUUUAGUUGUUGAUUAUGUAUGAUGUUUAUGGAUAAAUUGUAAUAGUGAAAAAGGAAGACCAUAUUUGAUACUUUUUGUCAAUGGAGAUUCUUAAAUUAAGAUUUCAUUAUUAAUUUAAUUGUUGAUAGAAAAUUAUAAAACAGGGCAUAAUUAGGACAUUUUAAUUUUUGGGCUAUUAAAAUUUUAUAUGAGAUAAGAUGACGCUUUUUUAAAGCGUCAUGCUUUACUUGAAUAAACAGAAGAUAACACUUCUCAAAAGCGUCAAGGUUGAUGUUAAAAAAACAUGACAUUUUUUUUUAGUGUCAAGGUAUAAAAUGCUAUACGAUGACACUUAUUAUGAGUGUCAAUGUUGCUCCUACAAAUAAAAAAGCUAUAAGAUGACACUUAUAGAGUGUCAAUGUUGCUUCUACUUAUACAAUGACGCUUUAUUAAGUGUCAACGUUGCUCCUACAAAUAAAAAGUUAUAAGAUGACACUUAUAUUGAGUGUCAAUGUUGCUUCUACCUAUACAAUGACGCUUCAUUGAGUGUCAAUAUUGACAUGAAUGAAAUUAUUAACAUAUGAUGACACUUAUAAAGCGUCAAUGUUUCAAAUAAUGACACUUACUAUGAGCGUCAUGGUUGACGUGCAAAGAAGAUGACACUUCUAAAAAGUGUCAACGUAUGCGAUUUAAAAAGAUGACAGUCUAAUAAAUGACGCUUUUAAAAAGCGUCAUCUUAUAUCUAUCUUGACACUUAAAAAGCGUCAUCUUUUGACAUUUUCCUUGUAGAAUUGAACCUCUUGAAGAGUGAAAACAUCAUUUCUUGAAGUAAGAUUAACAAUGAUUGACUCAUAUUUAGGAUAAAAUCCAAUAAGAAUAUAAAGAAUCAUAUCUUUAUCAAUAAUGACCUGACCAAUAGAGUUAAGAUUGUCAGUCAAACCUCACAUCUUAAUAAUAUACUCCUCUACACUAAGAGCUCAUUUCUUCAAUGUCUAUAGCAUCAUACAAAGCUACAUCACUUUGGCCUUCAAUUGAGACCAAAAAUGUUAUUCACGUGUGGACCAAACUUCAAUACUAGUAGCACAAUGAUUGACAUGAUUGAGCAUUGAUUCGCUCAUCGGUAAAAGAAUCUAGCUUGGAAGAAAUUGAUCAUGUCUCAUUCAAAUUAGGAAAUCAAGAUUCUAAACCCCAGUUGGUGGAGAACUAUGACUGUUACAAGGAACUUUGACAAAUUGAGGCAGAAUUAGAACAAAUCCAAACAAAAGCCUUCAAAUCUUUAAGCUCGUAUAGUUGAAAGCACUUGAGCUCGCCAUUAGUAGCACUUAUUGUGAUCCAACCAAAGAGAAAAACAUUGAAAUUUGGAACAAAAGAGGCCAUAAGAAAAUUAGGAGCACCAAAGGAAGUAGAAGAGGUCAAAGAUAUGUUUCUAGAGAAAAAUUUCAAAAACAAAUGGAAGAAUUUAGAAAGAGAAAGAAGAGAGAGAGAGAUAAAAGAAUUCUCAAAUGCAAACUUGCUCUUAUACCAACUUAGAGAGAGAAGAGAUUUGGUGAGAAUUACGACACUCACUUAAGUCUAUUAUUGAUUAUGCUAUAUAUAGCUAUUACAAGAGGGUUCAGUUACUUACAGUCUGAGCUGGCAUAACAAACUCUUAGUUGAUUAUGUUGUUAGAAUCCUUGUUAUUAGAAAAGACAUUAGUUGUUUGCUCUUUAUAUGGAAUAUAACAAACAUCCACUUCAUUAUUGUGAUUACUACUCAAAAAGUGCAAUUUGAUAACUUAUAAUUAACUCUUUUAAACACUUUUGAGUAGUAGUUAUUGCCUUUUAACUCAAUUAACAUGUUAAGGACCUUCGCAAUCAAUUCUAAUCAAAUUGUGUUAAGUUUUGGUGUUUUGAUAGCUUUUUGAUCACCAAAGCAACCCGAGAUUGAGGAGAGUUACUUGGAAUCCAUGGCAAAGCAAUGGAAAGCUCAGAAACAUGAAGAACCAAAUCUUUGAAGUCCUUUGCCAUAAGAAAAUCCGGAAUGAAAGGAGCAAAAGCAAAGAUAAAUCUGCCAUGAAGCAUUCUUGAUGACAGUCAUGUCAACCACUUUUGGAGCACUUCCUGAAGUCCAAUUUAUGCAUGCUAUAUGUCGUUUCGAAGCUCAGGAAGUCAACAAUCCAAUGCUUCAAACGGUGCACAAUUUGGAGUUGAAAUAAAGGAUUUACAGCCAUUGCAAGCCGAUCACUCCAAGCUGAAGGAAGAAUUUUGCACAGCGCUGCGAAAUCACCCUUUUGUUGCGAGAUGAUUUCGCAGCCUUUUUGUACAGUGCUGUGUUUCCCCCCUGAAGUUUCCCGUCAUGAUGGAAGCCGAAUACCACAAGAUGAAAGACCACUUCGCAGCAUUGCGAAAUUAGGCGUUUGCUGUGAAGUGAUUUCGCAACCCUUUUUGUGCAUCUGCGAAAUCUCGCAGACCCCGUUUGCAUCUGCGAAAUGGUCCCUAGUGCUUCCCGAUAUUUACAACCGACACUUGGAGAUAUUUUUCAUCAGAUUUUUGUUGUCUAAAUCCCAAAAUUCUCCUUGUAAGCUACCAAUUAUAAGUUUCCUUAGCUUUUAAGUUAGGAAAAAGACUAAAUAUCCAUGUAAUAAUUAGUAUUGUAAUUUUUUUAUAUAAAUAGCUCUGGAGAGCCUGUAACAAAGGACGACCCUUUUUGUAAACGUUUGGAAGGAAGUAAAAAUACAGAGCUUUGCUUUGCCUUACCUUCUCACUUUGAUUGUAUUUUUCAUUUUCUUAGUUAUGCACUCUUUGAGGAAGUUUCCCCAGAGAAUGAGUAACUAAACCUUUAAUUCCUUGGAGCUAAGGUUGCCGGGAAAGGUUCCAAGUGCAUGAAUUAGUAGUUUUGUGGUUUCAGCCAUGAAUGAAGAGUAAGUGUGAUCCUUUGGUGAUUUCUUUAUGUUUUUAGUUAACUUAAAAUGCCUUGAAGUCACCUAGGCCAACACUUGGUAAGGCAAGUGAUCUCCGUCCAAGGAGAUACACUAGUUUACCCUUUGCGAGCCUCUGGGAGGUGACUUGAAGGUAGGAUUUUUUAGAAUUGCCAACACUUGGUAAGCUUUUGGACUCCAAGGAGACAUCCAUUAGUUAUCUCUUGCGAGCUUUUGAAGGGAAGUCCAAGGUUAAAGAUCAUCUUGAAUGGUAAGUGCUCGUGAGAGGCAUGAACCAUUGCAAGUUGCAUCAGUCAGAGGGAAUUAAAGUUGAAAUCCAAUUCAGGGAUGCAUUUAUACAGCACCGAUUUGAGAAUUGACUAUAUGCUAAUUCUCUAAUGCGAGGAAAUGAACCAACUGACCGGAGCUAUGUUUUUGCAUGAGGAACCUCCCCUGUGAACCAAAAAUCUCCAAGGAAUGUUUUUCUUCAUAAUUAAUUUCCAUUACUUGUUUUGCCGUUAGCUUAAAUCUAAAUCUUUUUAAACCAAAGUUUGUGUUUUAUUUCUUGAGCUAACCUUGAAAUGAAAAAGCACCAAUUCACUUUGAAUUGGUAUCAUUUGUAAUUUGGAAACCCUUCCCAGUGAACGAUCCUAGAGCCACUAUACUAUAGUAGCUUUGUCUUUGCUACCCUAGUAUAUGGUGUAAUAGGUUAUAAAUUUUGUUGAUUACUCCCUCAAUCAAGGAGUACCAGCUAGACACGAAUCAACUGAGACAUCAAUUGGGCAUGAAUCAAAUGGUGUCGUUGCCGGGGAAGGUGUCAAGUUUAUAGUGAUACUAUUUCAGAGCACUUGUGAUUUUCAUCACAAGAUUGGUACCGUUUCUUUUGCUUUACUAAUUCUCAUUCUUUUUCUACUAAUUUAUAAUCCAAAUUUAUCUUUUAAAUUCAACUUAGUUUUAUUUUGUUUUUCGUAGCCCUGUUUUCUUUUGUUGUCCUUUAUUUUCAUUUUAGUUACAGAUAGAUACUAGUUGUGUAUGCCAAAUUGGAUACGAGAUAGUGGAGGAAGGCUUGUUAAAUGUGAUACACCUCAUAACAAGGAAUUGGAAUUGAGCUUGAAUAUCAUGGAAGCUACACCUGAAGAUCAGCAUAGUCACCAAGGUCGUCAAGACAAUCUCAAUGAAUUCAGAUCAAUGAGGGACCUCAUGCAUCCACCUCGUAUGAGUGCACCAUCAUGUAUAGUGCCCCCUACAGAGCAGCUAGUGAUUAGACUGUAUCUUGUUCCACUUCUACCAACUUUCCAUGGGAUGGAAAGUGAAAAUCCCUACGCACACAUCAAGGAAUUUGAAGAUGUUUGUAAUACAUUCCAAGAGGGAGGAGCUUCAAUUGAUUUGAUGAGUCUUAAGUUAUUUCCUUUCACUUUAAAGAAUAAGGCCAAAAUUUGGCUUAAUUCUUUAAGGCCAAGGAGUAUCCGCACUUGGACUGACUUACAAGUUGAAUUCCUCAAGAAAUUUUUUCCCACUCAUAGAACAAAUGGCUUGAAAAGGCAAAUUUCAAACUUCUCAGCUAAAGAGAAUGAGAAAUUCUAUGAGUGUUGGGAAAGAUAUAUGGAAGCUAUAAAUGCUUGCCCUCACCAUGGUUUUGAUACUUGGCUAUUGGUGAGCUAUUUUUAUGAUGGGAUGUCUUCCUCAAUGAAGCAACUCCUCGAGACAACGUGUGGAGGAGAUUUCAUGAGCAAAAAUCCAGAGGAAGCUAUGGAUUUCUUGAGCUAUGCAGCUGAAGUUUCAAGGGGAUGGGAUGAACCAACCAAAGGAGAAGUGGGAAAGAUGAAACCUCAACUCAGUGCUUUCAAUGCUAAGCCUGGGAUGUAUACCUUGAAAGAAGAUGAUGAUAUGAAAGCAAAGUUUGCAGUUGUGACAAGAAGAUUGGAGGAGCUGGAACUGAAAAAGGUGCAUGAAGUGCAAGCUAUUGCUGAAGCACCAGUGCAAGUGAAGCUUUGUCCUAAUUGUCAAUCAUAUGAACAUUUGGUGGAGGAGUGCCCUACAAUUUCAGCUGAAAGGGAAAUGUUUGGAGAUCAAGCAAAUGUUAUUGGACAAUUCAAGUCUAAUAACAAUGCACCGUAUGGAAAUACUUACAACUCAAGUUGGAGGAAUCAUCCAAAUUUCUCAUGGAAGGCUAGCAACUCAGUACAACAGCCAGAUCAACCAUCUCAACAAUCUUCAAGUCUUGAACAAGCAAUAGCAAAUCUCAGCAAGGUAGUGGGAGAUUUUGUUGAAAACUAAAAGGCCAUCAAUACUCAACUCAGUCAAAGAAUUGACAGAGUGGAGAGUACUUUGAACAAAAAGAUGGAUGGAAUGCAAAAUGAUAUAUCCCAAAAGUUUGAUAAUCUCCAAUACUCAAUUUCAAGGCUCACAAAUUUGAACACAGUGCAAGAAAAGGGAAGAUUUCCUUCUCAACCCCACCAAAACCCCAAGGGUGUCCAUGAAGUGGAAAGCCUUGAAGGAGAAUCAUCACAGAUGAAGGAUGUCAAAGCCUUGAUCACUCUAAGGAGUGGAAAAAAAAUUGAGAAGCCAACACCCAAGCCACAUGUUGAGGAGGUAGAAGAGACAAAGAAAGGGGAGGAAAUGGAAGACAAAAAGAGAGAAAUCAGUGAAAAGAAGGAGGACUAUGAUUCAACAAUGAAUGCAAUUCCAGAGAAGGAACUUCUGACGGAAGAAAUGCUGAAGAAAUCAACUUCUCCGCCUUUUCCUCAAGCAUUACAUGGGAAAAAGGGGAUUAGAAAUGCAUCUGAAAUCCUUGAAGUAUUGAGACAAGUGAAAGUCAAUAUCCCACUGCUGGAUAUGAUUAAACAAGUUCCAACAUAUGCAAAAUUCCUAAAGGACUUAUGUACUAUCAAAAGAGGGUUGAUUGUAAAUAAGAAAGCCUUCUUGACCGAGCAAGUCAGUGCAAUCUUACAAUGCAAGUCUCCAUUGAAGUACAAAGAUCAGGGAAGUCCUACCAUUUCAGUCAUGAUUGGAGGAAAUGUAGUGGAGAAAGCUUUGUUAGACUUGGGAGCAAGUGUGAAUUUGCUUCCAUACUCUGUCUACAAGCAAUUGGGACUUGGUGAGUUGAAGCCAACGGCAAUCACUCUAUCUCUAGCAGAUAGAUCAGUAAAAAUUCCAAGGGAGGUAAUUGAAGAUGUCUUGGUUCAAGUUGAUAAUUUCUACUAUCCGGUAGAUUUUAUUGUUCUUGAUACAGACCCUACUGUAAAGGAAGCUAAUUUAGUUCCUAUCAUCCUUGGAAGGUCAUUCCUUGCUACCUCAAAUGCAAUCAUCAACUGUAGGAAUGGGCUUAUGCAACUCACUUUUGGCAACAUGACACUUGAUCUCAAUAUCCCUAUAUGUCUAAAAAGCAAACCACUCCGGAAGAAGAAGAGGGUCCAGAAGAGCUAUGCAUUAUUGAUACUCUAGUAGAGGAGCAUUGUAAUCAGAAUAUGCAGAACAAGCUGAAUGAAAGUCUUGCGGAUGUUGAGGAAGGUUUGUCUGAUCCCCCUAAUGUGCUUGCUACUCUACAAAGUUGGAGAAUGAUAGAAGAGAUUCUACCUUUGUUCAAUAAAGAAGAAGGAGCAGCUGCUGAAAAAGAGACUCCAAAACUCAAUCUGAAGCCUCUACCCGUGGAGCUGAAAUAUACAUACCUUGAAGAAAAUAAUCAAUGUCCUGUCGUAAUAUCUUCAUCUCUGACCAGUCAUCAAGAGAAGUCUUUACUGGAAGUUCUCAAGAGGUGUAAGAAGGCAAUAGGAUGACAAAUAUCCGACUUGAAAGGCAUUAGUCCUUUAGUUUGCACGCAUCAUAUAUAUAUGGAGGAGGAAGCAAAGCCAAUUCGUCAACUUCAAAGAAGAUUGAAUCCCCAUUUACAAGAGGUGGUGCGAGCUGAGGUGCUGAAGUUACUUUAAGCAUGCAUUAUUUACCCUAUAUCUGACAGCCCUUGGGUGAGUCCUACUCAAGUGGUACCAAAGAAGUCAGGGAUUACUAUGGUUCAGAACGAAAAAGGGGAAGAAAUUACUACACGCCUCACUUCAGGUUGGAGGGUGUGUAUUGAUUAUAGAAAGUUGAAUGCUGUAACCAGGAAAGAUCAUUUUCCAUUGCCAUUUAUUGAUCAAGUGUUGGAAAGAGUCUCUGGCCAUCCGUUCUAUUGUUUCUUGGACGGGUAUUUAGGGUAUUUUCAAAUUGAAAUUGAUGUGGAAGAUCAGGAAAAAACCACUUUUACAUGUCCAUUUGGAACGUAUGCUUACAGAAGAAUGCCAUUUGGUUUAUGCAAUGCACCUGCAACAUUUCAAAGAUGUAUGUUGAGUAUUUUCAGUGAUAUGGUGGAGCGAAUUAUGGAGGUUUUCAUGGAUGACAUCACCGUAUAUGGAGGUACAUUUGAGGAAUGCUUAAUCAAUUUGGAGGUAGUUCUUCACAGAUGCAUUGAAAAAGACUUGGUGCUCAACUGGGAGAAAUGCCAUUUUAUGGUACGUCAAGGAAUUGUCCUUGGCCAUAUCAUCUCCGAAAAAGGCAUUGAAGUAGAUAAAGCAAAAGUGGAGCUUAUUGUUAAAUUGUCAUCCCCAACAACUGUAAAAGGAGUAAGGCAGUUCCUUGGCCAUGCAGGGUUCUAUAGGAGGUUUAUAAAAGGUUUUUCAAGUCUUUCAAAACCUCUUUGUGAGCUGUUAGCUAAGGAUGAUAAGUUUAUAUGGGAUGAAAGAUGUCAAAAUAGCUUUGAUCAACUGAAGAAAUUUUUAACAACAACUUCAAUAGUGAGAGCCCCUAACUGGCAACUACCCUUUGAACUGAUGUGUGAUGCCAGUGACUUUGCUAUAGGAGCUAUGCUUGGCCAAAGAGAAGAUGGAAAGCCCUAUGUGAUCUACUAUGCAAGCAAAACAUUGAACGAAGCUCAAAGGAACUACACAACUACAGAGAAAGAAUUGUUAGCUGUGGUAUUUGCCUUGGACAAAUUUCGUACUUAUUUGGUAGGGUCUUUCAUCAUUGUUUUCACUUACCAUUCAGCCUUGAAGUAUUUAUUGACAAAGCAAGAUGCAAAAGCAAGGUUGAUAAGAUGGAUUCUUUUACUACAAGAAUUCGAUCUCCAAAUCAAAGAUAAGAAAGGAGUGGAGAAUGUGGUAGCUGACCACCUUUCAAGGUUAGUUAUAGCACAUAAUUCUCAUUCCUUGCCUAUUAAUGAUGACUUUCCUGAGGAAUCACUCAUGUUCCUAGUGAAAACUCCUUGGUAUGCUCAUAUGGCUAAUUAUCUAGUUAUUGGUGAAAUUCCAAGUGAGUGGAAUGCACAGGACAGGAAACAUUUCUUUGCCAAAAUUCAUGCUUAUUAUUGGGAGGAGCCCUUCCUUUUUAAGUAUUGUGCAGAUCAGAUCAUAAGAAAGUGUGUCCCUGAAGAUGAACAACAAGGGAUUCUAAACCAUUGUCACGAGAAUGCAUGUGGGGGCCACUUUGCCUCUCAGAAGACAACUAUGAAGGUGUUGCAAUCAGGGUUUACUUGGCCAUCUCUUUUCAAAGACGCCCACAUCAUGUGUAGAAGUUGUGAUAGAUGCCAAAGGCUUGGAAAGUUAACAAAAAGAAAUCAAAUGCCUAUGAACCCCAUUCUAAUAGUUGAGCUAUUUGAUGUAUGGGGCAUUGACUUCAUGGGACCUUUCCCAAUGUCUUUUGGUAAUUCUUACAUCUUGGUGGGGGUGGAUUAUGUUUCUAAAUGGGUUGAGGCAAUCCCCUGUAAACAAAAUGAUCACAGGGUGGUUCUCAAAUUUCUUAAAGAGAACAUCUUUUCAAGAUUUGGGGUGCCCAAAGCCAUAUUCAGUGAUGGAGGUGCUCAUUUUUGCAACAAACCUUUUGAAACUUUAUUAGCCAAGUAUGGAGUGAAGCAUAAGGUAGCUACACCUUAUCAUCCUCAGACUUCCGGGCAAGUUGAGCUAGCCAAUAGGGAAAUAAAGAACAUAUUGAUGAAAGUGGUGAAUGCAAGCAGAAAAGAUUGGUCUAUUAGGCUUCAUGAUUCAUUAUGGGCGUAUAGAACAGCUUAUAAGACUAUUCUUGGCAUGUCUCCCUAUCGUCUUGUGUAUGGUAAAGCAUGCCAUCUCCCUGUGGAAGUUGAAUACAAAGCUUGGUGGGCAAUCAAAAAGUUGAAUAUGGACUUGAUCAGAGCUGGAGCAAAGAGGUGCCUAGACCUUAAUGAGAUGGAGGAAUUAAGAAAUGAUGCUUAUAUCAACUCCAAAGUUGCAAAACAGAGGAUGAAGAAGUGGCAUGAUCAACAAAUUUCCAACAAAGAAUUUCAGAAAGGACAAAGAGUUCUACUCUAUGACACAAGACUCCAUAUCUUCCCUGGAAAGCUCAAGUCAAGGUGGAUAGGCCCGUUCAUUAUUCACCAGGUAUACGUCAAUGGAGUGGUGGAAUUAUUGAAUUCCAAUGGCAAAGACACCUUUAGAGUCAAUGGAUAUCGUCUCAAGCCGUUCAUGGAGCCGUUCAAACCAGAAAAGGAGGAAAUCAACCUCCUUGAACCACAAAAAGCCUAAGCAAAUAAGGGUUUGAUGGACUUGGUUUCACCACAGUCCAAAAUUUUUGUAAAUUUCAAAGUUUUCUCACUACUUUUCAUUUUAAUUUUUGAUCUUAAAGCAUGUAUUUAUAUGUAAUUUAAUCUUUUUGAAUGAUCUCAGGUGGGAGAAAAUGCAAAGAAAUUUGAAAGGAAGAAAUCGGAGCGAAAUCAACCCAAAAACAGAGUUAAAACAGAGCAAAAACAGGGGUAUGCGAGAUUUCGCAGCCUCUGCGAAAUUAGCACUUCGCUGCGAAACCGUUUCACAACCUAAACGAAGCCGCUGCGAAAUCAAUGUGUCUCUACGAAAGCGGCUAUCCUUUGCGAAAUCAGUUCGCACCUCAUUUGACUCCUCUGCGAAAAUUUUCGCAGCUGCGAAACCAAGUUUGGCACAUGAGUGCCACUUCGUAGAACAGAAGCCCCCAUUUCGAAGCUGCGAAUCAGCUGCGAAGCUACAAAGCGUGAAAAUACCCGUUUUCGCAGUCAAAGCUCCAUUCCGCAAGGUAUUUCGCAGCUGCGAAACCAAGUUUGGCAAUCGAGUGCCAUUUUGCAGCACAGUGACAUCCCUUUCGAAGUUGCGAAAUGGGCUGCGAGAACAGCUUUUUGCUACGAAAUCGACGUUCUUCUGCGAAACUCAAAAUGACUUUUAAUAUUUCGUUAUUUUUAUAUAUACCGAUCAUUUGAGUUUUUUUUUUUAAAAAUGAUUUCAAAAGGAGGGAACGCCAUAGUAGCCGUCUGUUCAUCUCCUUGCCCGAGCCCGACGACGCACGAGUCUCCGAUCAUUUUCUCCGGUCACCACUUCCGGCCAAAUCUCGACAGUCCGAUAUGGAGCGAACCAGAGGAGCCAAAUCUUCCUCUCCUUCCAGCUACAAACGAAUCCCGCGAGGGGCGCCUGUUCAAGGCUCCACCUCUGAGCCUCCGCGAUCGAAAGCUGUUUCCCCUCCGGCGAAGCCCGCACCUCAAAAUCCUCCGACGAGGCGUUAUCUCACUAGGUCAGGGGGCCGUCCCCUGCAAAAGAGGGCCAGGGUUGAAAGCUCAAAGCCCAUAGACUUAACAGAGCAGUCCCCGGUUCCCUCACCAGAGCCCUCUCCACCGCCAUCUCCGGUGCCAGCUCCGGCGCCGCCAGCACAGCCUCAAGAGCUCCAGACGCCACUUUCUAAACCCCAAAUUCCAUCUGAGGUAGCACCUGAGGUACUAAUCAGGCGUCCGAUGCUCACCCAACCGCCAAUUGAAGGGAAUCUGGACUGUAGAGCUCGACCAUUUCACUCUGAGUUGUGCUUUGACACAGCAACCUUCCAAGUGCGGCCGGAGCUUGCAGAUUCAUUCCGCCUACUGCGUAGAUAUCAUAUGGAGCAUCUGCUGGCCCCUAGAGAUUUCUUCUACCCUAGAGUAGCCAUGGAUUUUUAUCAGUCCAUGACUACUAAGCAGGUCAGAGAUCCUACUUUAAUCCAUUUUACUAUAGAUGGUCGACAUGGCAUUUUGGGAGCUCGCCAUAUAGCAGAAGCCCUGCAUAUACCAUACGAGCCGAGCCAUUUUGAAGACUACCGAGUAUGGACUAGUCCCUCUCAGCUGGAAAUGGUCCAUAUCUUGUCCAGAGGAGCUUCUACAAAUCCACAUCUGUUGAGGGGGGAACUUCCUCCGAGCAUGUUUCUCAUUGAUGCACUUUUGCGUCACAACAUAUAUCCACUCCAGCACUGGACUCAGAGGAGAGGAGUUCUUUUGGAGGCCCUGUUCAAGAUUUCAGAGGGAUACUUCUUUAGCCCUCACCACCUAAUUAUGGCUGCUCUUCUCUAUUUUGAAGAGAAGGUACAUAAGAAAAAGCUAUAGAGAGCUGAUGCCAUUCCACUUCUUUUUCCACGACUGCUGUGCUAGAUUCUGGAGCAUCUGGGGUAUCCAUCAGAUCCUCAGUUGGAGGGCAAGCGUAUUUGCUGGGAGGUAUUUACUCUCGACAAAUGGAACAAUAUGACAGCAUAUAGAGUUGAGCAGCCAGGGCGGCCACAGCCAGCUGAGAUACCAGUUGCCAGGAGAGCAUCUCCACGUCAUAUACCUGAGGGUAUACCCAUUGCCUCUCCUACCAUAUCCAGAGCCCCUCCAGUUACUCCAGCCUCAUCAGAGCCAUCUACUUCAGCUGAGCCAAGGAUGGCCAUUCCCAUUUCGGAGUAUAGAGAGUUAUGCCGCUCACUGCAGACCUUGACCGCAUCUCAGAGCAGUCUUGCUCAGGAGAUGGCAGCUAUUAGAGCAUGCCAGGAGCAGAUGUUGACCACCCAGGCUCAGUACACUGCCAUCUUAAGGCAGCUCCAGCAUCAUCUCGGUCUUCCUUCAGUUGCUGAGCAUCUCUCCUCCACCACUGCAGUGCCAUACUCGCAGGCCACAGAGCCUCAGGCCCCUCCUGAAGAAGCUACUGAAGAGGCAGAGCCAUCUGCCUAAGCUUUCAGCCCCAGCACCAUCCAUCCAUCUGAUCAUAUAUUUAUCUACUUUAAUUUUCUUUUAUGUAUUUCGUUUUUAUUACUCUUUUAUGAAAUCCCAUCUUUUUUAUAUCUUAUAUGGGAUUACUUGUAUUGCUUUCUAUCUGAUUGUACUCGCAUGAAUUAAAGUAAUACAAGUCUAGCAUUUUUUUGUUAACUCUUAGCAUUAAUUUAUUCUUAUUUCCUUUUCUCACAUCUUUUAUCCUUUUUGAAACAUGUGGUUUCUCCAAUCAGUGUUCGAAAUUGAAAUCACUCAGGAGGUACCACUUCCUCCCUUUAAUUUCAAUCACCCAUAUCACAUUGAGGACAAUGCUCAGCUCGGUUGGGGGGAAAUGAGGAAGGAAGUAUGCUAAGUUAAAGUAAGUAUGCUAAGUUAUUUUGGUAAUGCACUUAUCUUAGUAAAUUAGUUGUAAUCUUUUACUUUCCACUCUAAUCUCCAUGGAUUUUGAGGAAAAAUUUUUAAAUUAAAACAGGAGAAUCUGAACUUUUGCUUUUCACUUGACUUAGAGUUUGGAGUAUGCUUACUAAAGUGGUUUAAUUGUUGAAGCUUCUAUUGAAAUCAAGUUUAGUCUUCCACUUUAAGCUAUUCACACACUGUGCACACUAGAUUCUGAAUAUAUGAUGAAAAACUAUUUCCCUCUUGACUUAGGAAAAUUUUGGGACUUGGUACCUUUGACCUUAUUUAAUAAUAUUGAGACACCUUAUGAAAGGCCAAUGAGCCUUUGAAAAAAAAAAAAAAAAAAAAAGAGAAAGAAAGCAAAAUGUUUGCUCGCCUUGAAACCCGAGCAAGGUCUGAGGGGUAUAUGGUGAAAAUCUUUAAAACCUGGUGCCCUAAGCCUUAAUUGGUUGGGAGUCACCGACCUCAAUGCUCGUUACAAGGGUGGAUAGGUGGAUUUUAGCAUAUGGUAGGUGCUUGGGUAUUAAAAUUCAUUCUCAAAAGUCCGGGGUAAAAUCCGAGGAGUUAGAGGUUGAAAGAUCCUUAAAGCUUGAUGCCCUAAACCUUAAUUGGUUGGGAGUCAUCGAUGGACCCCCGUUACAUGGACAAUUCAGAAAACAAUACCCCUUAAACCUUCUUAAAAAAAAAAAAAAAAAAGUGUGUUCUCUGCCUAUUGAAUUUGGUCAAUUUGCUAAGUGUUGAAAAGAGAUAGGUUGGGGGGAAAGAUUAGUUUAGCAUGCUAUAUUCGGAAGCUAUCAUCUUACACUUAGAUUUUUGUGGAAGAAUAAAGUUUGGUUCUUUGGAAGUGAAAAUGAUUUUAAAACUUCAAUCUGCAUAAUGCAUUCCCUUGAUCAAUAGUGUUUAGCAAAGUUUUUGAUAACUCUUGUUGAAUUUGAGUUUAUAUUUCUUCAAUGUUCCAUGUGGGAGUUAGAUCAUCAUGUCACUUAAAAUUUUUUGAAGUAAUCAGCAUGAUGUUGUAAAUUAUAGUAAUGUUUAUUUUUAUUUUUCUCUCCUUCAUUGCUAAGGGACUAGCAAUAUGUCGGUUGGGGGGAGUGAUUACUACUCAAAAAGUGCAAUUUCAUAGCUUAUAAUUAACUCUUUUAAAAACUUUUGAGUAUUAGUUAUUGCCUUUUAACUCAAUUAACAUGUUAAGGACCUUUGCAAUCAAUUCUAAUCAAAUUGUGUUAAGUUUUGGUGUUUUGAUAGCUUUUUGAUCACCAAAGCAACCCGAGAUUGAGGAGAGUUACUUGGAAUCCAUGGCAAAGCAAUGGAAAGCUCAGAAACAUGAAGAACCAAAGCUUUGAAGUCCUUUUCCAUAAGCAAAUCCGGAAUGAAAGGAGCAGAAGCAAAGAUAAAUCUGCCAUGAAGCAUUCUUGAUGACAGUCAUGUUAACCACUUUUGGAGCACUUUCUGAAGUCCAAUUUAUGCAUACUAUAUAUCGUUUCGAAGCUCAGGAAGUCAAAAAUCCAAUGCUUCAAACGGUAUGCAAUUUGGAGUUGAAAUAAAGGAGUUAUAGCCAUUGCAAUCCGAUCACUCCAAGCUGAAGGAAGAAUUUUGCACAGCGCUGCAAAAUCACCCUUUUGUUGCGAGAUGAUUUCGCAGCCUUUUUGUACAGUGCUAUGUUUCCCCCCUGAAGUUUCCCAUCACGAUGGAAGCCGAAUACCACAAGAUGAAAGACCACUUCACAGCGUUGCGAAAUCAGGCGUUUGAUGCGAAGUGAUUUCGCAGCCCUUUUUGUGCAUCUGCGAAAUCUCGCAGACCUCGUUUGCAUCUGCGAAAUGGUCCCUAGUGCUUCCCGAUAUUUACAACCGACACUUGGAGAUAUUUUUCAUCAGAUUUUUGUUGUCUAAAUCCCAAAAUUCUCCUUGUAAGCUACCAAUUAUAAGUUUCCUUAGCUUUUAAGUUAGGAAAAAGACUAAAUAUCCAUGUAAUAAUUAGUAUUGUAAUUUUUUCAUAUAAAUAGCUCUGGAGAGCCUGUAACAAAGGACGACCCUUUUUGUAAAUGUUUGGAAGGAAGUAAAAAUACAGAGCUUUACUUUGCCUUACCUUCUGAUGCGACUCAUGGUAGCUUAGCUUUAAAGGCGUAUCAACAAAAUUUAUACCUUGAAUACUAUUACUAAAGUAGCCAAGCUACUAUAGCAUAGUGGUUCUAGGAUCGUUCACUGGGAAGGGUUUUCGCAAACACAAGUGAUAUUCAAAUUAGGAAAAUAGGUGAUUUUCUUAUGGAUGUUAGCUUUAAAAGAAGAUGUAAAUGUUUUAGAAAGAUUUAAACUAAUCUAAGCUAACAUUAAAGACUAAAAUGAAAGGGUGUAAAAACAAGUUUCUCAAAGAUAGGAUAGCUAUGCUCUGGCUCUUAUGCAAAUUGGAAAUCUCAGGAUAGGCUCCUCGCGUUGGGGUUGCAACUAUGGUGAUGCUUGCUUCCCGAACCGGUAUGGAUUUAGCAAAUCAAGUUUUAAUCCUUUAAAAUGGCAAAACAGAUGGUAGUGAAUUUCAUCAAUGGUUAUUCACCUUAGACUUCCUUUGAAUGGCUCGUAAGAGAUAACUAAUGGUCUAAAGCCAAAAGCUUACCAAUAUUGGCAACUCAAAGUCAUUCCAAGUGAUAAACUCACCUUUCAUGGNNNNNNNNNNNNNNNNNNNNNNNNNNNNNNNNNNNNNNNNNNNNNNNNNNNNNNNNNNNNNNNNNNNNNNNNNNNNNNNNNNNNNNNNNNNNNNNNNNNNACGGAUUAAUGCAAAACUUGGAAUUGAAAACCUCACCUUCCAAUAGCUCGUAGGAGAUAACUAAUGGAUAGAAAUCCAAAAGCUUAUCAAGUAUUGGCCGUUGGAAGUUGUCCAAAGGAAAUAAAAACCAAACUUUGCAUUAAUGAACCUUUAAUGAAAAACGACUACCUUACCUUCCGGGUGCGAGAAAUUUCCAUGGGAUUGCAUCCAAGCCAUCACAUAACAUCCAUACUUUGAGAAACUAAAAGUUUUAGCCAAUCAUCCUCUGAGGAAAAGCCCUCAGAGGCUGUUUGGCUUCCAAGAAAAUAAAAUAGUAAAGAGAAAAGAGAGACGAGAGAGCUCUGUAUAUAUUCUUAGUGUUAAACGUAAUAUCUCUUCUAUAUUCUAUAUAUUUUCCAAGAGGUGAUAUCCACCCCUUAUAUAGUCUUUACAAAAGCAAAAGCUUGUGAUUGGUUAGUUACAAGGAUAAGAAAGGAAAUUACAUCACAAAAUACAAAGGAAAAUAUCUAAAGUGGAGUCGGCAAAGGCAGAGGAAAAUUCGCAACACGCAUGGGUUAUGCGAAUUUUGAAGGUGUUAUGCGAAUUUCGCAUAACACCUUGUGGAAUGCGAAAUUUUCGCAUAACCUGGAGCAGUUGGCUUCCGAAGGCGAUAUCUUCCUCAUUUCAGCUCCAAAUCGUACACGGUUGGAAGCGUUGGAUUUUUGACUUCCAGAGCUUUGAAAUGGUAUAUAGCAUGUAAAAAAUGGACUUCGGGAAGUGCUUCAAAAGUGUGAAAGAAGACUGCAGCUGCUGUCCUCUUUGCUUCUCUUCACUUUGCUUGCUUUUCCUCUUUUCCAUUGUUCUUUCCUUGCAUACUUUGAACGACUUUGGCAAAGGGCUAUGGAGCUCCAAAGCUUGGUUCUUCAUGAAUUUGAGCUUCCAAAAGCUUUUCCAUAACUUGUCCAAGUAGCUCCUCCAUCAUUUGGCAUGCUUGAAUUGAUUCAUAAGCUGAUAAAAACAUGUAAACUUGCCACAAAAUGGUUAAAACCAAUUACUAAGGACCUUAAUGAAUCAAUUGGGUUAAAUGAAUAUGAUUACUACUCAAAGGUGCUUAAAACCAUUAUAAUUAGGUCUACAAAAUAGCACUUUUUGGUAGUAAUCACCUUCUCACUUUGAUUGUAUUUUUCAUUUUCUUAGUUAUGCACUCUCUGAGGAAGUUUCCCCAGAGAAUGAGUAACUAAACCUUUAAUUCCUUGGAGCUAAGGUUGCCGGGAAAGGUUCCAAGUGCAUGAAUUAGUAGCUUUGUGGUUUCAGCCAUGAAUGAAGAGUAAGUGUGAUCCUUUGGUGAUUUCUUUAUGUUUUUAGUUAACUUAAAACGCCCUGAAGUCACCUGGGUCAACACUUGGUAAGGCAAGUGAUCUCCGUCCAAGGAGAUACACUAGUUUACCCUUUGCGAGCCUCUGGGAGGUGACUUGAAGGUAGGAUUUUCUAGAAUUUCCAACACUUGGUAAGCUUUUGGACUCCAAGGAGACAUCCAUUAGUUAUCUCUUGCGAGCUUUUGAAGGGAAGUCCAAGGUUAAAGAUCAUCUUGAAUGGUAAGUGCUCGUGAGAGGCAUGAACCAUUGCAAGUUGCAUCAGUGAGAGGGAAUUAAAGUUGAAAUCCUAUUAAGGGAUGCAUUUAUACAGCUAUGUUUUUGCAUGAGGAACCUCCCUUGUGAACCAAAAAUCUCCAAGGAAUGUUUUUCUUCAUAAUUAAUUUCCAUUACUUGUUUUGCCAUUAGCUUAAAUCUAAAUCUUUUUAAACCAAAGUUUGUGUUUUAUUUCUUGAGCUAACCUUGAAAUGAAAAAGCACCAAUUCACUUUGAAUUGGUAUCAUUUGUAAUUUGGAAACCCUUCCCAGUGAACGAUCCUAGAGCCACUAUACUAUAGUAGCUUUGUCUUUGCUACCCUAGUAAAUGGUGUAAUAGGUUAUAAAUUUUGUUGAUUACUCCCUCAAUCAAGGAGCAUCAGUUGGACACGAAUCAGCUGAGACACCAAUUGGGCAUGAAUCAUAUUGAGCACUUUCUCAAGCACGAAUUGAAUAUCAAUCUUGAUAUGUUUAGUUUUGGCAUGAAAAAUAGGAUUUGAAGUAACGCAAUAACACCAAUGUUAUCACACCACCACAUGAGGGUUUUUUCAAGAGAAUGACCCAACUCAUGAAAUAGAGAUUGAAUCCAAAUCAAUUCUGUAGUGGUAGAAGAUGAAGCACAAUAUAGGAACAAAUACCUUUUUUUAUUGAAGAAUUGAUUGACACACUUUGACAACUAGAUUGAGAAACACUAGGCUCUUGUAGUAGAGAAAGCAAGGCCUUAAACAUAGAAGAUGACUUGGACUAUAAAGAUUGUGAUUGCGUGAGAUCAAGUUGAUAGAGACCAUUCCUAAGAGCUCGUUCCACCAUAAUUUUCUUUGAAGCUUUGUCCUUGCUUAGACAAUAGUCAUAACAGAAUUCAAUUAAAACAUUAUUAUAUUUUGUAAAUUGAGAAAUACUGAAAAGAUUUUUGGUUAUGUGUGGAACAUGUAAGAUGUUAUUAAGGAGAAGAGGUUUAGAAGAAUUUUUGUAAGGUAAAAAGGAAUUUCCAAACUGAGAAAUAGCAAGUUUAGAACCAUUACCAACCAUAAGCUUCUCAUUGCCUAUAUAAUCUACCUUGAUAGUCAGAUUGUUCAUAUCGACAGUGAUAUGGUUUGUUGCGCUACUAUCGACAUACCACUCGUGAUCUGCAAAGUUAGAGGUGAAAGCAAUAUUUGCCUGAUAACUAGUCAAAUCAACACUUGAAAAGCUAAUAUCAAACCUUUUGUAGCAUUUAACAACCACAUGACCAAUCUUGCCACAAAGUUGACAGAUUGGCUUGUUGCCAUGACUAGAACCACCAUUGUCAAGGCCAUGAUGACCACGGAAAUGACAGUUACCACCAUGAUUGGCAUUACUCAAUACAACAAGAAAAGAUCUGCGAUAAGCAACAUUAGUAGAGGGAGAAUUUUGCAAAUCAGUUGGCAAAAAGACCAAUUGAUGUUGAAUCAUCAUUUCAUGAGUCUAUAUGACAAAUUGAACCUCUUGAAGAGUGAGAGCAUUGUUUCUUGAAGUAAGAUUAACGAUGAUUGACUCAUAUUCAGGAUAAAAUCCAAUAAGAAUAUAAAGAAUAAGAUCUUUAUCAAUAAUGACCUAACCAAUAGAGUUAAGAUUGUCAGUCAAACCUCACAUCUUAAGAAUAUACUCCUCUACACUAAAAGCUCAUUUCUUCGAUGUCUAUAGCAUAAUACAAAGUUGCAUCACUUUGGCCUUCGAUUGAGACCAAAAAAGUUAUUCACGUGUGGACCAAAGUUCAAUAGUAGUAGCACAAUGAUUGAUAUGAUUGAGCAUUGAUUCGCUCAUCAAUAAAAGAAUCUAGCUUAGAAAAAGCUGAUCAUGCCUCAUUCAAAUUAGGAAAUCAAGAUUUUAAACCCUAGUUGGUGGAGAACUAGGACUGUUACAAGGAACUUUGACAAAUUAAGGCAGAAUUAGAACAGAUCCAAACAGAAAGCCUUCACAUCCUUAAGCUCGUAUAGUUGAAAGCACUUGAGCUUGCCAUUAGUAGCACUUAGAGGCAAGAGGCAAAUUAGGAGCACCAAAAGAAGUAGAAGAGGUCAAAGACAUGUUUCUAGAGAAAAAUUUUGAGAAAAAAAUGGAAGAAUUUAGAAAGAGAAAGAAAAGAAAGGGAGAGAGAGAUAGAGAAAAGAAUUCUCAAAUGCAAACUUGCUCUGAUACCAACUUAGAGAGAGAAAGGAUUUGGUAAGAAUUACGACACUCACUUAAGUCUAUUAUUGAUUAUGUUAUAUAUAGCUAUUACAAGAGGGUUCAGUUACUUACAGUCUGAGCUGGCAUAACAAACUCUUAACAAACUUCCUAACAAAUACAAGCGUAAUUUAAUUAUAUCACUAAUAUCAUCAAAUGUGUUUGUACAUCUUUACAAGAACGGAAAAUAUUGUUAAAAUAUUGACUAAAGAAAUGAAAGUUGUAUUCUUAUUAGGCCACUCUUCUAAUCAAGCUCACCAAGAAAUCCUUAUAGUUUCCAAGAGCUACAUCUUCAAUCUUCUGGGUUAAAGGAAUUUUAUAUUGCUUAUCAAAUUCUUCUAUGAUUUCUUUCAUAUCAACAUUGCUCCGUGUCAUUAUUACUCGAGUUAGGGCUUCUUUUGUAUUCUCGUCUGCAUCAUCUUUGAAUGCAUUAUUUAAGACCUAAAAGAAUUGAAACAAUCAAUCCAAUACAUGAUUCUACAAACAAAUAUAAGAUCAUUUCUAAGAUGUUGUUUGUGAUGAAUUAGUCUUACCUUACUGAAAUAUGCUUGGGGAUUGCAUAGGCACUGAAGUGUCUCCUUCAAACUCAUUAGAGUGUCAAGAUCCUAAGCAAAUUAAUGAGAAUCAUACUAAAUUGGUAAUUUAAGAUGAUAAGAAAAGUAAAUUAAAGAAACCCUUCAUGUGAUUUUUCAUUGUUUUUCCUACUUAAUUCAUUCACUUUUUAUAAAAAGAAAAAAGAAAUAAAAUAUGAAAAUAUUAAAUUGUUUUCCUUUGCUACAUUUCAUUUUUUUUUUUAUAUUUAUAAUUCAGUAGGUAUGUUAUACUCCUUCCCCAAAGAUUUAGACUUAGUAACUAGAGCUCUCUUGGUAAAAAUCUUGGCUCUUACUCACCAUGGUUUUUAAAACAGAUGACAUAAUUAAGAAAAGUCUACUAUAUAAAAAAACACCUAAAACUUUUCUUCUAACUAAUAUGGAAUAUCAUAUUACAAUUUCAAUUUUAUUAUUAUAUAUCUACUAAGGGGUUUACUUAUCAUUGUUAUUCCUUCAAACAACUAUGGUACCUUCCUUUUUUUUCUUUAUUUAAAAUUUAUUUUAAUUACAACUGUUGUUGAAUUAAAGUUUAAAGAAGAAAAAUCAAGGUAUAUUACACAUAUAUUAUAAUAUCAUUCUCGUUCCUUACCUCAUCUAUAUUUUUGCCAAAAAUCUCCUUAUAGUACUUGACCACCGCCUUGAGAUGGAGCUUGCUCCUUGUUGUUAGAAUCCUCACUAUCGCAUCAUCUUCAAUUGGGUUCUUAUCAACAUUCUUAACCGCAAUUGCAAGUGUCAUGGCCUCUGAUCUAGCAAUCCCCUCAUUAACCCGCAACCCUUCAUAUCUAUACGAACUCACAAGGGCUACUAGGAGCUAUCAAUGUAGGAAAACAAAUUUUCGUUAUACCAUAAUUUACAUUAAUUAUGGAAAUAUUUAACCUUCUUUAAAUACCUUUAAAAUCAAAGAUGUCAAAUAGGGCCUUAAUCUAUCAUAAAUAAGUUAGAUUUGUGUUCUUUUGCCCUUGUACUAAUUCAAAUUGGGUCAAACAUAAGAUGAGGCUUGAGAGGGAAGAACUUUGGUGUUAGCCAACUAUAUUGUCAUGCAUUUGAGGCUUAAUUUUUAGGUUAUCAACAAAAGAGCCAUGCAUAUUAUGGCACAAUGAUUGGGCCACAUUGCUUGGGCUAGCCCAAUCUUGAAACAUAUGAGCUGGCCUAGUUUGAGCACAAAGUGGGCUCUUGUCAUCAUAUAAAAAUCAAUCCCACAAACCAUAAUAAAUUCUUUUAAUUUUAUAAAAAUAUUAUAAUAUAUUUUUAAUCAUAUAAAUAAAACCGUUAAGAGGAGUAUUUGAAAAUUUUAAUAUUUUACAAGAAGUAAUAAAACUAUCAUGAAAUGGAUUCUCAAAAAGAUUAUAAAGUAUAACAAUUGUGUGACAAAAUUGUUAUUUUCAUAUAAAAACUAUGUUCAUGCUUUGAAUAUCAUUCAUUUGAUGUGAUAACCUGACUGAAGUGGCACGAACCUUGCGUUCGAUGCCUUCAAGUCGAGAAGCAACAUCCUCGAUCGAUUGGUCGAAGAGGGAUUGAUAAGCUUUCCUAGCACCAAGCAGCUCUUCUGAUGAUCUUGUGCAUGCAAUCUCAAUGAGCAAACCAUAUGCUUGAGGACCCUUAGAAAUAGCCUCAUGCACCAAACGAGCAUCCCUUUCCCAAGGAUGCAUGAUCCAUUGCACCACAAUAUCCUGACCAUAAAAAAAUUCAAAAGAGUCAUAAGAUUGCAAAAAAUUCAACCAUUCAUAACUAACAUAUUAUCACAUCCUAAUAUAUGUGCCUUGGCAAAAUAUAAUACAAUACUCUUAGGAAAAUACUAAGAUAUUAAAUUAAUGCCUCUAAAACUUCGAAUUUCAGUUUCUAUAAAUAUACGAUGAAAUUUGGAUCAUUGAAUAAAAGUACAAAUAUAAAGAAAGAAUCAUGGUAUAAAAACAAAUUAAAUUAAGGCAUAAGGGAACAAAUUUAAGGUAUAAACAAAUGAGACCAAGUUAUAAUGGGAUAGAACCAAUAUAUAGAGUAAGGAGACCUCGAAAUGUGAUACAAAUGAAUGAGCUUGGAAUAGUACAAAAUAAUGAGACUUGAAUUACAUAUGCAACACCAUUUAUUGGUGGUGCCUUUUGAAUAGGUUCCACAAAAAGUAUAUUUGGAUAUUGUACUAAAAUGUGUCAUCGUGUCAAUUAAAAGCACUUAAAAAAUAAGUCAAUCCAAUUGAUCCAUGAGUACAAAUUGGGCAUGAAACAAUGAUAUGAAAGGGUAAGUGUUAGCAAACAAUAAGUUUAUGAAAAGAAAAUUUUAUUUUAUUUUAUUUUUCAUUAUUUGAAGUAAUGGUACUAUGUCAUUAUAUAUAUAUAUAUAUAUACUUUAGAAUUUUCUUAUAUUAUAUAUUUCAAUUUUUUGAAUACAGAAAAGUAUUUAUAGGCUAUAUCUAGUACCAAAAUACAUUAAAACUAGGUUAAAAAGAGAACAUUUUUCAGCCAUUUUCCAUGUGAUAUCCAUAAUUAUGACUUUCAGCUAAGAUUUCUAUUACAAGAAGAAGAACAUGAGUACCUUAAACCGCAUAAAUUCUUUCGUUAAGCAUGCAAUAUGGUGAUCAUCCCACCUCUCAAAAAGACGUUCAUCCUCCAAGAAGAAUUUAGGAGUUCUCUUUCUAAAGGAUUCCAAGUGCUCCAAAUGCCACUUUCCUAGGAUCGAUACCAUCGAAUCCUCAUCAACUCCAAAUCCUAAAAAAUGCAAAUUAAGGUUGCUUCAAAUAGAUGGACUACAUAUAAUUCUUGGUAAGCCUAUAUAAAAUAAAGCAAAUAGAAAAUAACAAAAGCCUAAAAAAGUUGAAUUUCACAAUUUAAGACUAUUAUACCAUAAUUUAGAGUGUGAUAGGUUGUGAUUUUAAGAAGUAUUUUUAAUAUUUCUAACAUUUGAAAAUUUUUAUCUUUCGAAUAUUAAAAAUGUUAGAAACACUUCUUAAAAUUACUAUCAAAUACAUUCUUAAAGUUCGUUUAGUUAUAAUUCUAAAAAAAUGUUUAUAACAUUUCUAACAUUUGAAAAUUUUUAUCAUUCAAGUACUAAAACAACGAAAAACAUUUCUUAAAAUAAUUUCUAAACACAUUGUUAGUGUCCAACUAAAAUAAACAAAAUUAAAUAAAAAAAAUGAUAAGAAAAAUAUAAGGGGCAAACCUGAGAAAGCCUUGGUGAGAGCUUCAAAGUCAUUUGGAGGAUCCAUUUUGGUUGUUUUUCUUUUCCCGAGUCACGCAAUAAGAUGAAAGGCUUCUCAUUCAUACAUGAAUAUGAGAUGAUGAUUUAGUAAGCGAUCCAUCCAAGGGGAUGGAUGCAGUAGAAUAAAAUGUACACAAAAAAUGGAAUGACUUGUGGGAAGAGGAAAGGCAUCUGUCCUCAAAGGACUGCAUGUCAAUAUCAUGGAGUCCUUUCACUGAUUAUGAGAUUCCGACUAUAGUGUUUGAAUUUUGCUUUUAAGACUUGAUUUUCUGAUCAAGACUUUGACCUAGGUUUGGGUGAUUUUAGUUCAUGGAAUAAUGAUUUUGAACAAUUUGAAUAUGUUUUGAUCUAAUAAUAAUGAAUUUAUAGUUGGGCUUGGGCUUGGGCUGAGCUCCUAUAUCUCUUGUGGGCCGGCAUGGGAAUUGAAUACUAGUACUGGUACAGUGUUGGUCAAAGCUGGUUUAGAAUUUUGUCGUGAAAAGAUUCAUGGAAACUUAGGCACUCAUCACGGUGCUGAAUGUUCAUGUGCCUCUUCUAUGGGGGUCAAAUUAUGAUGAAUGUAUUGUGUGAUCAAGUCCUUAUGUAUAUACAUGAUCCUACACAAAAAAAAAAAAAAAAAAAGUUGAUUAGCAUUUAGAGUUCGUUUUAUAGUGAUUCUAUGAAACGUUUUUAAUCUUUCUAACUUUUGAAAUUUUUUGUCAUUUAAGUAUUAAAAAUACUAAAAAUAUUUUCUAAAAUCCCUCAUAGACGCAUUCUUAGACUCCAUUUGAUAGUGUUUUCGAAAAACACUUUCAACCUAAAAGGUAUUUUUGAAAAAAAUAAUUUUUUUGAUAAAAUUUAAUAAACACUUUUAAAAACCAUUUAUAGUAUUAAAAAAAAAUUAACAGUGUUUUUUAAAGAAACAUUUGAUAAUUGAUUAUCUUAAAAAACUUUUAGAAAAAAACACAAUUUCAGUAAAAAAUAAAAAAUUGGGUAAAAAUACUAUCAAAUAAACUCUUGAACCUGUUUGAUAGUACUUUUAGGCGAAAUGUUUUUAUUGAAAAUGUUUUCUCUAUAAUAUUUCUAUGAAAAACUAUCUUAUGAGAUUAUGGAAAAAUGAUUUUAAUAAUGUUUUUGACAAUAUGUUGCAUAAGUAUAAAAAUAUUUUAAUAUUAAUAAAUUAUCAAAAAGGACAUAUAAUUUAAUUACAAAAAGUAAAUAUUAUAAUAAAUCCAAAACUUUUCAUUGUAAAAGAAUGUAAAAACAUUUAUAUUGUUAAAAAAACUAAAAAUAAUAAUUUUUAUAAUUACAAGAAAAUUUUGGAAAAUAUAUAUUUUUAAAUGGAUUAAUAAAUAAACAUAAAUCAUAAUAUAACAAUUUUUUUAACUAAAAAAUGAAACAAACUAUUUGAUUAUAUAUUAAAUUAUAAAUAAUAAAUUUUUAUUAUAAAAUGAUGGGUGGUAGCUACUUAAUAUUCAAAAGUUUUCUUAAAUUGUAUUUGUUUAAAAUUAAAAGAGUCAAAUAUUAAUUCUUACCCCAUUGUAUUCCUAUGUGGAGUGGAGAGUUGGGUUAUAAAAUAUGGUUAAAAUUAUACCUUUUAUGAUGCCCACAUAAUGUCCAUUAUAAGCAUAUGCGAGUUUCUUUCCUUUUGUGAGGUAGGAAUGCCUAAAAGCAUUCAUUUCGAAUAUAUAUUUGCAAUGUACACAUUAUUCACUUUAUAAAACUUGCUCAUCUAGAACGGAGAGUACUUUGGAGCCGAUUUCAACGAUGUUGAACAAGGGUGAUAAAAGCCUUCGACUGUAGAGUCUCCACUCGGAUGGAGAGGGAAUGAGGAAGAGAAAAGUGAAAGGGAAAUGGAAAUGGAGGAUAUCAGAAAACACUUGGGGGUAUUUUAGAAAUAUUUGUAAGCUUUUAAAGUGAUUUUUAAAAAAAUCACUUCCUAAGUGCUUCUCUAAAAAUCGCUUCAAGUAUUUUUCUAAAUUUUGAAAAGUGUUUUUUUUUAAAUAUUAUCAAAUACCUAUUUUUUACCUUAAAAAUGCUUUUAAAUAUUUUUAGGACUAGAAACACUUUUAAGAAGCAUUACCAAAUGGGCUUUUAAUUAUUUUUUACAUAAAAGUUUAAGACAUAUUUGGAUGUAUAGUAUUGUUAGACACCUUAAGAGCUAUGUGAAGAUAUAGGAUCUAAUAUUAAAAGCUUCAAAAAGCAUCCAUCCCUAAAAUUGGAAACCCUUUUUAUGAUCCCCUCAUUUUUUAAGCUCUUAAAUUUAUAAAAAAAAAAUGGUAAAGAUCCUAUAUCUUCAUUUCUAAUAUUAUCGGAAAUGAUUAUUUGUUUUUUUUAUUAUUCUAAAAUUAUAAUUUUUAGAAAAAUAUUAGAGUUAUGAAAAGAUUAAGAAAAAAGAAAAAAAAAAAAAAGAAGUGGGACGAUGAUCUGAAUUAAUUUGUAAAAAAAUUUCAAUCUUCUCACAACUACUUUUAUCUUUAAAAAACCUAUAAUUCUAAUGGAUAUAUAGAAAGUUUAUCCUUGAAAAAUCACAAUUCUAAUGGAUAUAUAGAAAGUUUGGUAGAUGCCAAUAUAAUUUCUCUUUUAACACUUCGAAACAAUCCAAUAAAUUGGUGCUAGCCUACUAAGCCUUGAGGCCCAAAAGAGAGCGGGCUUGAACAGUGAAGGGAUACUGCCCAGCCCGUGUAAUUACAUGGUCAUACUAUUUGGGUCAGCCUAGUCUUGAGAUCUAUGGGCCAUCUUGGUUUUGGCUCACUAAGGUAUCUCUUAGGCAAGCUCAACAUGCUUGAUGCACUUCUCUUCUUGGAAUAAGCCCAGAGUUGGGACGACCCAAUCUUUGACUAAAGCCCAUGUAAGAGCAUCUAGGCUUUAGGCAAUUACAUUUAGGGUUACUCAGUGUACUAAUGCAUGUGGCAAUUUUGACACAGCCUAACAUGAGUGAGAAAAGACAUAAAUUUUAGUGGGUUCGGGUCACACAUAAUCACGUUUUUGUUAUAAUCAUAUCAACUCAUAUAACUCAUUCAAUUAGUCAUGUUUAUGAUUUGUUUAUGAGAAAAGACAUUUAUGAUUUGUUUAACCCAAUUUAUUAAUUUUAAAUAUUUAAAAAUUCUAAAAUUUUAAAAUACCUUUUAAUUAUGAAUAAUAUCAUAUAGUUAAAAAAACUUAAAGAACUAAAGUAUAAUUUCAUUAAAGAUUAAAAAUAUUUUAUAAUUUAAUAAAUAAAUAAAAUUAUAACGAGUAUAUAAUUAAUUUUUUAAUUUAAUUUUUAUUUUAUAAAUGUAUUAUAACUUAAAAUAAAUAAUUAAAAUGAAUGAAAAGUUUAAAAAUCAAACUUAAAAGUUAAGAACAACUAAAAAAAAUAUUUUAAAUUAAUAUUCUUAUAAAAUUAAAAUUUUAAAAAGGUUAAUUAAAAUACAAUCAUAUUAAUGAGUUUAAUGAAUUAAAAUUAUAUUAAUCAGUUUAACGGGUUAUAAUCAUGUUAACAACCAGGUUUCAUAAGAAUUAGUCUCAGCCAUUUACUUUGAAAUUCUCCAAUAACAUGCAGUACAAUUUGAUUUGGGAAAAAAAAAAAAUCAAACAUAUCAUUAUUUUCCAUGCAAAAAUUAUGCUCAUAUACUUUGAAUGUCUUCUAAGUGGCACUAUCUCUCUUCCUUUUGAUGUCUUAAAUUUGGAAGUCAACAUUCUCAAUUGAUACGUCAAAGAGAGAUUGACAAGCUUUUCCAGGCUUUGUGCAUGUGAUCCCGAUGAGCAAGCCGUAUGAUUGUCGACCCAUGCAUGGUCACAGCUUCUCAGCAUGUCAAAUGAGCAUCCCUUUCCCAAGUAUGCAUGGUUCAUUGCACCAAAGCAUUCCAACCAUGACAAAACUCAAAUCUACCACAAGAUCGCAUUGACAUCUUGUCACAUCCUAAUAUGAAUGUCAUUUUUUUAGAAGAGUUGUGCAGUUCUCUCACUAAAGAAGUAUAAAUACUCUGAAUCCCAUUUUCCAAAUAUCAUUGUCAUCCAUUUCUCAUCAACUUCAAAUCCUAUAAAAGCAAAUUAAAGGGGUUUCAAUAUCUAAAAAUAAUAAUUAAUAUAGGAAUUAAAUUAAUUAUGAUUGGGUCGAGAACUUUCUCUCUAUUGCUGCUUAUGAUGAAAGCUAUUAGAGAAUUGCUAAAUGAGGGGAACGAGGAGAUCUAGGACAUGCCAAAACCUAGAGGUGGGCAUUUGUAGGAAUCUUCCUUGCAUAUAGGAAUGGCAACGAGGUGGGUUCAAGAAGGGUCCCCCCAUCCCAAUCCUGCCCGUUUAUUCAAAACAAUUCCCAUCCUCGUCCCAUUUAAAAAAUUAAACGGGGCGGGGCAGGGUGGGGCGGGUAUGAUAAAUUCUCAUACCCGCCCCGCCUCACCCUGUUUAAUUUUUUUUUUAAUUUUAUUUAUUUAUUUUUUAAAAUUUACUUUUAAAAUUUUUAAUUACAUUAAAAUAAAUAUAUUUUAUAAAUAAUUAAAUUAUCAUAUUUUUUAUAACUUAUUUUAUUUAAAAUAUUUUAUUAUUAUCUAUAUAUUAAAAAUAGUAAAAUAAAUUAAUUUUAAAAUUUAAAUUAAAUUAAAAUUUAAAAUUAAUUUUAUAUAUAAUCGGGGCGGGGCGGGGUGGGAUGGGGCAAUACUCGAACCCGCCUUGGGUUUUAAAAAAAAAAUCUCAUACUCGUCUCAAACCCGUUUAUUAAAAUUGAACCUUGUCCCAUUAGGGGCGAGGCGGGGCGAGUACCCUAAACCCGACCACCCCCCCCCCCNNNNNNNNNNNNNNNNNNNNNNNNNNNNNNNNNNNNNNNNNNNNNNNNNNNNNNNNNNNNNNNNNNNNNNNNNNNNNNNNNNNNNNNNNNNNNNNNNNNNGAAUAUUUUCUUACUACUUGGACAAUGGUUACAGUUAUUAAAUUGGUGUGAUGAAUGAGUCAUGUGUUCUACGGCACCGGAAUCUAGAACCCAAAAUUGGCAAAGGUUUCCUCCGAGACUUUUAAUACAAUAGAAAUAGGAAACUUACCUGAAAGUGCAAAUGAGCAGGUACUUGAAAAUUUGUGACUUGAGGGUGUCUCAAGAGUUAACAACAAAGCUCCCCCCCCCCCCCCCCCCCCCCCCCUAUUGCCAUCCUUACCUGCAUACGUGUUGUGAGCACAGAGGGUGUGGGGGCCAUUUUGAGAGAAAAUAGAGGGAAACUCUAUUGAAAUUUUCCUAGUCAAACAUUGUUUUAACAUUUAAGUUCAAUUAAACUUUGGUUAUUAAUUUCUUUUUUUAGAGGAUGUUUGGUAAAUCAAUAUGAAUUAAUGAUUUAAUGACUUAAUUUAAGUCAUUAAGUAGAUUAAGUAUAUUUGGUAAAAUAACUUAAUAUCAAAAUUUAAAGUAAAAAAAUGACUUUAAGUUUUAAUUCAAAAUAAUGAAUUUAUUUUUAAUCUCAAAUAUCUUUUAUCACAUUUAUCCAUAUUUACUAAGAGUAUAUUUUACAAUUAUGGCUUUACAUUCAUAACCCAUCUUUUGUAGUAAAUAUUUUUAUAAUUAAUUUAUAUAUCUACAAUAUUUUAAAUAUUAAUGUUUAACAAAUAAAUUUAUUAUUUAAAAUUAGUAAAAAUAUAAAUAUUAAUUAAAAUUAAUGAGGGUAAAUAUGUCAAUUUGAUGAUUUAGAAUCAAUUUUAAAUUAACUUUAUCAAACAACCUUAAUACUUAAUAUAAAAAAUAAGUGAUAAGUUUUAAAUCAAUAACUUAUGAAUAAUUUAACUUAAGGUCAACUUAAGUCAUUAUUAAGUAAUAAGUAUUAAGUUUUUAUCAAACACCCACUUACUAAGUUACUUAAAUUAAAAGAUAUUAGAGUCAUCAUAAUUUGUCUUCUUUGGUUCUUGGAAUCAUGUAAGAGAAUGAGAGUAAGAAUGGGAGAGAAUGCAUUGGGUAAGAAUAAGCAUUGUAGAAGUUUGGUUACAAUAGGAAACAAAUCGAAGAGUAAUGACUUGGGAAAUGAAAGGGAAUAAGAUAUAGGAUUGCUAAUGCAUGGGAAAAUGGGUAAAUAGUAGGGCUAUGUACAAAAAAGUGGAUUCUAUGCUUUUCAUUUUUUUUCAAUAUGUUAUAACCAUUUUUAAAUUGGAUUAGAUAUACUAAAUGCAUACCUAAUUGUUAAGAUUUUAGCUAGCUCAACCUCAAGUAAUCAUUGUAGAGAGAGGGGGAGGGUGAAUGGGUGAGGUCACUUUUUGCAAAUUUAAGCUAAGGCAAGUGGCAAUUAUAUGCAAAUGUAUAACAAAUAUAAUGGAAAUUAAUUGCAUAUAAAAUAGAGAAAGGAAGAGAAAUUGUAAACACGGGAUUUAAUGGUAGUUUAACGCAACUUGACUUAUGUCCACUCUUCUCAAGUUCCUAAUUGACUGAGAGUUCCACUAAUCCAAGACUUCCAACACAAGUAUUCAAGAUAUAUAAUUGGAUUUUUCAACUCUAAUGGGCACUACAAAUUUCUUCAAGAGAUGUCUCACUUUUGAAUUCCUUAAGUGAUAUCCCAUAUUUGGCAAACACUAAGUGAUAUCUUAUACUUAAAUUUUUCUGUUAAGUGAUUCCCCACACUUGAGAUUUCUUUGCAAAGGUUACAAAUUGAUAGGAAAUAUAAUCUCACAAGAUCCUAGUACAAAUUUAAGCUAAGCUCAAAUAAUAUGAAGAAAAACUAGGAUUGAGGUGCAUUAAAUGGAUAUGCAAGUUCUGAAAUAAGGUGCACUUGGAUAUGUAAGCUUUGAAAUAAGGUGCAUUAAAAACACACUCCCCCAAGGUUUAAAUAUAAUCAAGAAAGAUUUUGGAAUGUUAAACUCUUUUAAACAAUGAAGAAUGAAACCGUUUUAUAAGAGAUGAAAGCCCAAACUAGCCAUAGGCACAGUUUGGGGGUUGAUUGGUUGAGCAUCGACUUGACUAGUUCACUAUCCAUUGUGCAUUAAUUGCAUAAGCAAUUGACCAUUGGGGUUCAAUGCUUCAACUGGGGCUUGAUCAAAACUCGGCUAGUCCUCGAUUGGUCUCAACUUGUUGAACACAUGCUACUAGAAAUCAAGGGUGCACAAAAUGCCCCUCGAUUGAUAAAGCCUAACUGGCUCAACCAAUUCCCUAGACCCUUGACCUGUCGCAUUGUGAAGUGCUUGAAUAAUCCGGUUUUGAGGUUUGGAACCUCUAACAACUUGUGUAAAGCAACUUAAAACCUUUAAAGCAAGUUUAUAAAGAAUUUGACUUAAGGUUUUGAAUCGUCCAAAUAUAAAAUAUUUUAAGGCAAUUUAACUCUUGGAUGAUUGUGGGUGCAUCAAUAAAAAUACAACAUAUAAUCCUAAUGUAUCAACAACCUUACAAAAAGAUCCUAAGGAAUGAGUUUUCAUUGAUUUUCUCUUUGAGGUCUUCAUUUUCUUUUUGAAUUUCUUCUGACUUAUUUUAUCUUUAUGAUUACCACUUUAUAAAUCUUCUUGCCUAAACACAUUUAAGAUAAAAUAUUAGUUUCAAGCUUUAUUUUAUUAUCAUCAAAAUGGAGAUUAACCAAAUCUUGGUUUAACAAUCUCCACUUUUUUUUUUUUUUUUUAUGAUGACAAAAUCAAGGUUGCUAAAAUGCCCCUCCUCAAUAUAUGAUCCUUAAUUUUUAGAAAAUAUUUAAGUUUAAGAACUUUAAGGAGUAUAUUAAAAAUGUUAAAAAAAUAAAUAUACCCAAAUAUAAAUAACAUAAAGAGCAGUUAAGAAUAUGACAAGAUAAGACAUUAAAUAUGAUGCAUGCAUAUUUGACCAAUUAUGCACAUAACAUCAAUAAUUAAGAUUACGAAAUACAAGAUAGUCAUUUUAGUACAAUGAUAGCCUAAUACUAAUAUUUCAUUGUAAUUACAUCCACUCAUAACUGGGGAGAAAAAUCAAUCAUAAUACCAACUCUUAAAAUUAGCAACCCUUAAUUUUUUUUUUUUAAUUAUUAAGAGAAGACAUUUUGCUCCUAUUUUUCUCUAUAUGCUUGUGGGUGUUUGAAGCUAUCUUAGAUAUAUUUGUGGAUAGUAGAGAAGAAAUUCGUUAAGCAAAAUACAAGGAAAGUAAAAACAACUAUUGAAAUAGAAAGCUCCAAAAGUAUUGUUUUUAAUUAAUACGAUGUUAAUUUUUCUUUUUUAUUUUAUGGCAUAGAGUUUAGGUGUAAAUAAAAUAUUUUGAAUUAAAAAGAUUGCAUUUUGUACCCUAUCCAAUUCUUGCCAUGAGAUAUUGGUGAUAUCUUUACCAUGAUGAUCAAUUAUACAAGAGGGUUAAUGCUUUAAUAUAUACUAUAGCACAAUGAAAUUGGACUUGAGAAUAACCAAUUUAUUUAAUUGUACAAAUAUAUAGGUCCUUGGUACAAACAAAUAAGAGCAUGAUACAAAAGCAAUAGAACUUUGGUACAAAGCUAUAGGAAUAAUGGUUCAAUUGUAUUGGUCCAAAUGCAUAAAGAAAUGGGUCCAAAAUAAAAGGUAAUAAGAUCAAAGAUACAAAGCAAUGGGACCAUAGUACAAACUAAUUGAACAAAUGAUUUAUAAUUCUAUCAUUGAGAGUGAAAUUAGGGAUAAUAGAAGAUGAGUGACUAAUUUAGGGGAGGAAUGAUCAAUUUCUAAAUUGGAAUGACUAAUUUCAUGAAGGCAAUUAAUAGUUAAAGGAGCACAAUGUGCCUCAAAAGAGGGUGAAGGGAGGAGACAAUAGAGUUUUUCAUGUACCAUCUCUUUCCAUUGAUGGUGGAGUGAUUUUUCUCUCUAAAUUAGUGUGUCUAAUAUCAUUCAAUAAUGUAAGUGUGGUACCUCUUGCAUAUAGUUGUUAAAAAAUAAUUUUUUUAAAAAUUUAAUGUUGUUGUAUAAGCUAGAUGUUGAAUUUAAAAAUUAAGAACAAACCAGGGACAUGGUAGGACAAAAAAAAAAUGAGUUUGUUAGGGAACAUGGGAAAUACUGCUGAACCUUGAAACUCAAGUCACUUGCUUCACUAUUAAUAAAGAACUAAUGGAGCUAUUAAUUGAAGAUUCCUUUAACACAUGAAAGCAAGAUGCUUAGCUGUUGUUGGUUCAUUUUCAGGACUAAGACAAGGGUUGAUUUUGGGAAAAAAACACAUUAAAGAGGGUUUCCACGGUUCUGAAAUUCUCCCUUGUAAGUCAGAAAGUUAAGCUUUCUUUAUUGGCUUGGAGGAUAGAGCAUUUUUAGAUGGAUAAGGUUAGAUAUUAAUUUGGUGUUAUAAUUUUAUGUAUUUUUACUUCAAUAAAAAUUGAAAUUGAAGUCAAUAUCAUGAUUUCCAAAGAACAAUGUUGAUAUAUAUUAUGAAAGUUUACACUAAACAAAGCAUUUGCUUGCAUAAAUCAAAAAACGGUUUUUCCUAAAAUCAAUAUAGUUGGAAAGCAUGAUAUUAUCGGCUCAAAUUCUAUAAACUUAAACUUUUAGAAAAUAUGAUUGUCCAAUAUGAUAUCACAAUCUCAUUUGAUAAGAGAUCAUGUGUUCAAACAUUACUACAAGGACAUUUAUUUGAUCAUAUUUAAGAGGUGUUAAAGACUAUAAUUUACAUUAUAGAUGUAAUGUAAAUUAUUCUCAUUCAAAGAAUUUUAUAUUCUUAGAGGUUACCUAAUUUAGGUUUUACUAAGGAUUGAAAUUUUGGAUUUUAUCGGCGAUAUUUCGUAGAUAUAUCGAAUAUUGGACGACCUUGAAACGAUUUUGAGCACUGAUUAUCAAAUGAGAGGAAUUUUGGGAAAAUGUUGGAAAUAUCGUCGAAAUAUCGCCGAUAUAUUGGUUUGGAACUGAUAAUCAACAAUUAAAUCAGUUGUGGAGUGACGCGCAGAGCAAUGGGGAGAAAUGGAAAAAGUCGUUGAUAUAUUGUUGAUUUUUUUAGGCAGAUUUUUUGAAAAUUUUGAAAAUUCAUCCAACGGUCAAAUUUGAAUUUUUGAUGAUCCGAUGGCCUAUAUUUCACUCGUGUUUUUUUAAAGGCAUCCAAUAGUCAGAUUUGUGAUCCAAUGGUGGAAAAGCAAUAUUGACUUGAUCCAACGAUCAAAAUUAAUUUAUAACAGCUAUUUGACCAUCCAACAACUAGCUUGACCAAAAAAAAAUCCUAUAAAUACUGACAAUCCAUUCUAUUUCAUACAUAAAAAUUUGAUCUUGUUCUAUUGCUCUAAAUUUUUAUUUUAUUUUAUUUUAUUUUAUCUCUAGCAAAAUUUAAAAAUUUUGAAAAUUUGGUGGUGAAGGGGAUUAACUCUAAGUUAAGGCUAAUUAAGGUAUACUUUACCUUUCACAAAAUUUAUUUUUAUUAUGCAUAAUUCAAUUUUAUUUUUUAUGUAUAGUUUAAUUGAUAUUAUCUAAUUUUAAAAUUUGUCAUAUUAACAUUAUAUUUCAUAUGGAAUGGAAAUUGAUUUGACAUCUAUGCAUAUUUAGUUUCAUUUUUUAAUAACUUUAAAAUUAAAUUUAAUUCAUAUGGAAAUUUAAUUGUAAUGUUUAUCUAUUUCAUGCAUAAUUCAAUUUUAAUUUUAAUUUUUAUUAGUAAUGAUUCUUAUCAAUUUCAUGAAUAUGGAAAAUUUAUUUAAUUUAGUUUAAUUUAAUUUAAAUUAAAUUAAAUUCAUAUGGAAAUUUAAUUGUAAUGUUUAUCUAUUUCAUGUAUGCAUAAUUAAAUUUUAAUUUCAAUGGACAUUACAUAUAUGCAUAAUUCAAUUUUAAUUUCAAUUUUUAUUAGUAAUGAUUCUUAUCAAUUUCAUGAAUAAUAUUAAUAUUAAAUUUCUUAGAUGUUUUAUCUUUAAUAAUUUUAAAUUUGAUAUUAGUUUUGUAUAGGAAUUUAAAAUACAUGUUUAGAAAAUGGCUAGUGGAAGUGGAAACGGUAUCAUGGGUCGAGAUCCUUAUUGGAAAUAUUGUACACUUAUGGAAGGGAACAAAAAUGGAACAAUAUGCAAUUACUGUGGGUUGACAAUAAAGAGUGGUGGGAUUACUCGUUUUACAUUUUACCUAUGUCAUACAGACCCUCAUUCAAAUACAAAAAAAGUGUUCUAAUGUGCCUCCAUAAGUGAAACAAGAAAUAGGACGACUUCUAAAGGAAAAAAAUAAGGCAAAAAUGAAGAAAACUACAAAUAUAGAAGAGAUAUAAGCUGAAGUGAGACACAAUAGGAGGAAUACAUAGACAUGUAACUGAUAAAAAGGAUGAAAAGAACCAUGAUGAUGAUGAUGAUGUGUAUAUGUAUUUGGUUGACAUGCACCUUGAUGAGUGGCAUGCUUAUAGAGCAACAGUUUGAGCAUCAAAAGCUAUUGAAUGGAAUCGACAACAAAAAGAACAUUUUGUAAGAGGCAAAAGAAAAACAAGUAUAAUAUUAAUUUGAAUUAUUACUAUUUCUUAUCAACUUUAUCAAUAAUAUUAAAUUAACAUAUAUGUUUAAUUUUAAUAAUUAUAAUAGGUGAGUCUUCACAUCCAACUAGUCCAACAAGGCAUAUAUGAAGAUCGCAAAGUGUUUGAUAUUCAGAUCCAUCACCGCCUACUGCACCCUCAUUGUACAAAUCUUUAGUAGCAAGACAGAAAAAUGCGAAAAAUCUUUUCGAAGGUGGUGCCAUCAAGGAAACCAUGGGAUGUUUGAUUAGUAAGUUCUUCAUAUAUGAUAGUGUUGCGCCUAAUAAAACAGACUCUCACCACUUCAAGAACAUGAUUGUUGGUGCACAACAAACAGAUAAUUAGUAUAAUUUUAAAAGUUGUAUUUAUUUUAACAAUAUCAUUAUUAUUUAUGAAGUAUGAUUGCCACAAAUGUUCUUAUAUGCUUUAAUUAUAUAUGGAUGGUAGUUAUAUGUAUAGAACCGCUGUCUCCUUAUGAAAUCAAACACAAGUACUUGGAUAUGGAGUACAAAGACAUGGAAGCUUAUGUUAAUAUUCAAAAAGAAAAAUGGAAGACUUAUGGAUGCACGAUUAUGUGUGAUGAAUGGACUAGGUCCACAAAAUUAAGCAUAAUUAAUUUAAUGGUAUAUUCAAAAGGUAGCACAAUCUUCCUCAAAUAUAUUGAUGCAUCAAAUUAUAUAAAAUACAACAAAUACAUAUAUGGUUUGUUAAAUGAUGUGAUCAAGGAAGUUGACAAACAAAAUGUGGUAUAAAUAGUUAUGGAUAAUGGGUCGGCAUUCGUGAAGGUGGGGAAGUUUUUAAUGAAGAAAUACAAUCUUAAUUAGUCUUCGUGUGUAGCACAUUGCAUCGAUUUGAUGUUCGAAGACACCGAUAAAAGGCCGAGUAUUGCAAAUGUGAUUACAAAGGCUUGAAAGAUAACCAACUUCAUCUAUAACCAUAGUUGGUUGCUUGUGCAAAAGCGCAAGGUGUGUGGUGGAGACAUAGUUCGCCUUGGAGCAACAAGACUUGUAACCAAUUAUAUUGCCCUGGAUAGUCUUUUGAAAAAGAAGGUGGACUUGAAGAAAGUGUUUAUCAGUGAUAAAUGGGCACAACACAAGUUAAGUCGCAAAUUAAUCGGCAAAGAAGUUGAAAAACUUAUGUUUGACCAUGCAUACUGGGAGAGUGGGAAAGCUAGUGUCAAUCUAUGAGGCGCUAUACACAAUUCUUCGCAUUGUCGAUUUCAGAAGUUGCUCCUACAAUGCCAUUUGUGUACGAAUCGAUUCAAGUUAUGAAAGAGAACCUCAUUCGACUUAAUGCUAAAGAAUGGGUGUUAGAAAUAAUUUCAUACCAUUAGGAUAUGACUCUUAAACAUCCUCUUUAUGCAACAAGUAACUAAGUAUUAUCUAUCUUUGAAAGUUAUUGGUAUUUAAUAUGUUUCUUCAUAACAUUCUAAUUCUACAUAUCUAUUUUACUAUUGUAGCAUUCUUUUUUAAUCCAAGGUUUCAAUAUAAAUGUACUGAUCCUGAUCUACUUCAAGUUGUUCAUGAAGUCUUUGCGAAAUUAGAUCCUGCAACAAAAGGUCUUAGUUAAUUUAGAAAUUAGGUAAAUUAUUAGAGUUAUAAUAUAAAUUAAAAUUUUGAAUUUCAUUUACUCAAUUUUUGACUUUCAAUUAUUUAAUAUAUAUCUUAUACUAUUCUGAGAUGCAAAAAGAGAAUUUGGUGAUCAAGCAACGAUUGCUUCGAGGUCAGAAAUGGUUCCCAGUGAGUAUUAUUUGUGAAUUAAUAAUACAUUUCAUUAGCAUAUUAUUGUAGCUUUCCAAUAUAAGUAUUGAUAUCAUUUAUUUGGUUGUAGCUGAAUGGUAGUUCAUGUAUGGAAACCACACUCCUACAUUAAGAAGGUUAGCCAUCAAGGUUUUAUUGCAAACUGCGUCAUCUUCAACUUAUGAGAGAAAUUAGAGCAAGUUUGCCUUAAUUCAUACAAAGCAAAGAAAUCAGCUUGCUUACCCGAGGUUCCAACUAUUAGUUUUCUGUUAUUAUAACAUGAAACUAAAGACCCGUGAUAUGAAGACAAAAAAUGACAAAGUUGCGGAGAAAGAUUACCUCGAUUUACUUGACAUUAUAGCUAAGGUUGGUGAAGAAGAAGAUAACCAAUUAUUUUAAUGAGUUAGACCUUUUCAUUUAGAUGAUGAAGAUGGAAAUCCCGACCUACGAAUUGUCGCACAUGUCCGAGAAGUAGGUGUUGAUGUUGAAUGGGUGUUAUUUGAAGAAGUUCAUACUAAUAGUUUCAUCCAAGACAUGAGAGAUUCAUUUCUACAAGGAACUUCUCAAUUGGCAGUCACUUUUUGACCUUCUUUUGACUCCACGAGCAUUGAACAUAGUAACAGAACUAGUGUUGCUGGUAUUUCCGCUUUCGGUUAUGAUGGUUCAAGAGGAGAGGGGACCAAUGAUGGUAGCGACCCUGGAAAUGAUGGAGGGGAUGCUAGACAACAAUAGAAAAGUGGAGAACCAUUGGCAUUUAUUUGUGAAGAUGAUUUCACAUAUUGUACUCAAGAUGAAGAUCACGACUCUAGAAGAGCUAGUCCAAUUGUUGGAGCCAUUGGAAAGCCAUAUAGAGGAAGACAACGAAGUAUGACGCCAUACAACGAGGACUCAUUGUUGGCCAAUUUUGAGUCAAUGAGUAUAGAGACUCAAUUCAGUGACUCAUCAAAUGAAGCCAACAUUUAUGCCCUUUAUGUAAUGAGUUAUGGUCAACCUCUUCCAAAUCUUUCAAAUUCCACUGAUGAAGCGUGUGAAAGGUAUAACUAUCCUUUUUUCCACACAAAUAUUGUACUACCUUCCAUAUCAGAUGCAAUAACAAGGAUUUCAAAUGAGCACAUGGGAAAACCCUGAAUUUGGUAUCCAUGGACAGGUUGUGGGUAGGGCUCAACCUGUCUAUUGACUAUGAGUUGUAGGGAAUCCAUUCAUAUUAAAGAAUAAUUAAAUAUUAAAGUUAUAUGUUAUCUUCAUUGUGCUAUUGAUAAGAAUGAACACAAUUGCAUUUUCCAUUUGAACCUGUAAAAAUAUACAGGGACACUUAGUAAUUACCCAUGAAGUAACUAAAGUAAAAAAAAAAAAAAAAAAAGGUUUGAAAUCAAUCUCCUUGUGUAUAAUUAUAAAUUAUUUUCUAUGGAGGAUUUUGAAUCGAUUGUUGAAUAUUCACUAGGUUUAUGAAUAUUAUCAAUGGACUUCAAGCCUUAGAAAUGACCUACACCAAAAUGAAGAAAGUUAUGAAGAUUUUGAAGUAUCUACCAAAGAAAUAGGGGGCAAAGGUAAUGACAAAUCAAGAUCUCAUUAAGCUUUUUCUUAAAGAAUUCAUUAGGUCAAUUAUGACUCAUGAGAUAAACAUGAGAAAUCAUCAAUAAUCAAUAAGAAAAGAAGAAGAAUAACAUUGCAUUCAAAGCUUUAAAAAGAAGGUUUUAUAGUUUCAUAUAUAUUAAAAACACAUGUCAAUUUAAUGAAAUAUAAUAUAUAUAUAUAUAUAUAUAUAUAUAUUAUUUACAAAAGAGUAUCAAUCCUUUUAUUAGUAUAACAGAUUUUUUUAGUAAUAUUUAUUUUAGAGAAAAAAAUUGUAAAUUUAUUUACAUAAAUAUUUCAAUACUUUUUUUUGUAUAUAUUUCAUUACAAACGAUUUUUUAUUUGAUAUAUAUAUAUAUAUAUUUACAAAAGAGUAUCAACCCUUUUAUUAGGAAAAAUAUUUGUAUUAGUAUAACAAAUUUUUUUAGUAAUAUUUAUUUUAGAGAAAAAAAUUGUAAAUUCAUUUACAUAAAUAUUUCAAUACUUUUUUUUGUAUAUAUUUCAUUACAAACGAUUUUUUAUUUGAUUUUAUUAUAAUAGAUUUAUUGAAAAUUGAUUUUAUCUUUAUUUAGUUUAAGAAACAGUCUCCCAAGUUUGUUACAAAGAUCCUUGCAAUUUAUUUCUAAAAAGGUUAUUUCUACUUUAUAAAAAAAAAACUUCAAAUUUAUUAUUUUAAAAAAAGGCUUCAAAUUUAUUUCAAGAAAACAUUAGGAAAAAUUUUGUCCUUAUUUUAUUUUAAAAAAAUCUAGUUUAUUUAAAUGAUCAUAUCUCACUUUUAUUAAAAGCAAAAUGAUUUUUUAAUUUAUUUCUUUUAAAAGGUUUCAUAAUUUUUAUUUUUAUUUUUUUUUUAAAUGUUUAAAAUUUAUUUUUAAGAGAAAAGGGUUCAUAUUUAAUUUUUUUUUAAAAAGGUUUCGGAUUUAUUUUUGAAAAGAAAUAAAGGGUUUCAUAUCUUUUUUUAUUUACUUACUUAGUGACUCAAAAAUAAAAACAACUAAAACUAUGCAAUAUACAAAACUAAAUAAAAUAUAUAGAAUAGAUAAAUAUAAAGGGAAAAAAAACAAUAAACAAUAACCAUUUAAAUGAAAUAUAUUUAAAAAAAUGAGAUCGAUUCUUUCAAAGAUAGAAACUCAUAUUUUGUCAUACAUUUUAUCAUCAGAAAAGGUUUUUAAUCUUAAGUUUUCAAACGGAACCAAUAUGAGCAAUUAAAGGUCACUUGUGCAUCAAGUUCCAAUGUUUAUUGUAUGUUUGAUUUGUGGUUGACUAAGGUAGUCAACCAAUUGACCUAAAUAGUUGAUUGAUUUAGGGGAAUUUUCUUAAAUGAUUGGCAAAAAGAUUUCGAUUGAAGCAGAUCCUUGAUCGGUCAAGCCAGAGACUUGACCCAUUGACUCAAUGCUACAUUGAUUAUCAUCUUUUACUACCUAAUAGCUUGUAAACAUUGGUUGAGCCUUAUUGUGUUUAAUAGUUAGGUUGAGCUUCUAUCUCCUAUAUAAAAUUAUAUUCUUCAUGUUCAAUUAUCUAUAGAGCCUUAGAAAAGAAUUUUGAGUGUGCUAAGUUUAAACUUGAAUUUCAUUCUUAGUGUACCUUAUCAAUCAUAGUUUAUACUGUAUCCAAUGAGCAAAAUUAUAAAUAAUGAGUUUUAAGCUUUGUAAACUCUAUCUUGUAACCUUGUGAGGGUAGACUCGAAUGUGUGGUAUCACUUAUGGGAAAAUUCAAGUAUGAGACAUCACUUGAUAGUUUGCCAAGUGUGGGGUAUCACGUGGAGAAUCCAAGAGUGAGACACCUCUUCAUAAAUGUUGAAUGUCACUUGAAACCAAGAAUCUAAAUGUGCAAAUAUAUGAUGUUUGGUUUGAAGCUUUAAAGAUAGUGAAAUAUGAGUUUGGAAUUGAAAUGAGAGGAUAGUGGAUGUAGAUUGGGUUGAGUUCGGGUCGAAUCAUUACAAAAAUCUUGUGCUAGUAUUCCCUUCUUUAUAUAUAUAUAUAUAUAUAUAUAUAUAUAUAUAUAUAUAUAUAUAUAUAUUAGUGUCUAGAUAAUUGCUCAUAACAGUUUAAUUUGUUAUUUGCAUUCAUUUUGUAAAAAUUGUUAAAUUAAUAGAAAUAAAAAUGAUAAAUGUUUAUUGUAUUUUUAUUUGCAAUAAGUUGUUUCAUCUAUUAUGAUUAAACAAUAAUUAAUGUGUAAUAAUUAGUAUUUUAUUUUUUAAUGAAUUAAUAUUUUAUAGAUAAUCAUAAUUAUUUCAUUAAUAAUGGUUCAAAAUCAAUAUUGUAUUUAUAAUAGUGAAAAUAUUAGUCAUAAUCUAAUUGUUUCCAUUUAUAGCAUUUAUUUUUUAUUUUUUUUUCAGUUUCAAAGCAUUCUUUGAAGUUUAUAUGAAGGAUAGUUUAAAAUUUUCAAAUAAUUUCUCUAAUAUUAAAAUGAGCCCUUAAAUUAAAAAAAAAAAAAAAAGGUUGUGCCCAACAACAAUCCCAUGCAUGAAAAUUCUUAAGAUUCCAAAUAAGAAAAGAGAGAAGGGAAACAUGAACAAGGAAGAACACGACUCCAAUGGGGAUCAAACCCAGAAUCUCUGGUUUCGUAGACUAACGCCUUAUCCAUUCAGCCAUGGAGUCCUGAUACUUAAUAGAGAGGUUAGGCAUAAUCCACAUUCUCACUUUAAUUGAUUUUUUUUUUCCUUCAGCUACUUAUGGCUUAUUUGAAAGACAUCCUUCCUUUUAUUUCUUUUCUAUUUUUAUUUUUGUUUGAGUAGUUGACAACUUUAAUUUAUUAACGUUCAUCUUUUUAAUUUCAUGUGUUUAUAAAUAAAUUGAGAUGGAUCAUUUUUAUUAACUUCUUGUAAUGUAAAAAUGGGUUGGUUGUUGCUUAUUUUCAUAUUUGUAUUUUCUUUUCAUUUUUGGAUACUCAAGAGGAAUUUUAUAUUGCUUUUUUAUUUGAAAUUAAUUUAAUACAUAGGAAAAAAGAUGGGUUAUGUUUUAAGAUUCGAGUUCAAAUAAAUAUUGAUUAAUCGUCGAAUCAUAUUUAAUUAUUAUAUAAAUAAAAUAAUUAACUUGCAAGAUGUGAUUGGAUUAAUAUGUGCAUGGAUAAAAAAGUAAUUAAUUUUUACAUAAUUAUAAGCUUUUACUAGAAAGAUGGAAAAAAUAUAAAAAUAUAUGGGUUGUUUAGAGGGAUGACAAUGGGUAGGUUUUUCUUUGAGUACCUAUAAUGACCUGCACCCAACCAUGUAAAUAUUGUCUACUCUAGACCCAAAGGGGCUCUCAUGACUUUAAAACACGUCUAUAGGUUAAGGGGAGUUCAUACUUAUAUAACGUCAGAAACUUUUCCCCUAUUCGAUGUGGGAUGCCACAGACACCCCUAUGAAGACAUAACGUUCUCGUUGUAUCCUACAAGAUUGCGGGGCCAAACAAACCCUUACAUUGGGGUCGGGGAUCGGUUCUGAUAUCAUUCUAUAACGACUUGCACCCAACCGUGUAGAUAUUGUUCGCUCUGGACCCAAAGGGGCUCUUACGGCUUCAAAAUGCAUUUACAGGGUUAAGAGAAGUUCAUACUUAUACAACGUCAAAAAAUUUUCCCCUAUUUGAUGUGGGAUGUCACAGUACCCACCUCAUUGGGAAUGUAAUAGGAUAGGUAUGGGAGGAUUGAGGAGUAUAAAUGGGUCACAAUUAGGUUUUGAAAAUUUUUAAAAAACUUUAGGUAAGGUUUGGGGCAAGUUCAACUAUUGUCUUAGCCCAUCCCACCCUGAUUAUGAAUAUAAUUGAAUAAGAAUUACUUAAUUUAAUUUAUUUUUAUUUUUCUUUUUUAUACUUAUAAAAUAAAAAAUUAAUUUUUUAAAAAUAAAAUUUUAUAAUAUUCAUUUAUUUGUAAAUUAUAUUUAUCAUUAAUAUAUUUAUUUUUUUUUAGAAAAUAAGCAAUUGAAAAAUAAAAAAAAUAUCAAAUAGGGAAGGGGGGGUAUGAGAAAUUCCCAUACCCAUUUAAAGUGUUUUUAUUUAUUUAUUUUUGGAUGGUUAUAAGAAUAAGUGUAAAUAAUUGACCUACAGUCAAGACAAAAGUGACCUAUCCCAAACUCAUUUUAUUGUCAUCCUUGGUUGCAAACUUUUUUUUCUCAACAUGGUAAAGAGUGGAGAUAAGAUUUAUUUAUUUUAACAAAAGUCUACUUAUAUUACUCUUAAAUCAUCAAAUAAUCAUACAAAUCACUUAUGAUAUUUUAAAACAGGGUAACACCCUUUCAUAUUUAUUUUUCUAAAACCUUUUCUUCUAUACAACACUGUAAAAAUUUAACUUAAAAUAUUAUUAUGUCCACAUACAAUUAUUUAAUGAUGAAUUAUCAAGAGAAAGGUCAUUAGUGAUACUAAUAAAUCAAAGAAAAAAAAAUGAAACAUGUGUUUACUUUUCUCCUUUCUUUUAUUGGAUGGAAGAAAUACUUAUAAUAUUUUAUAGAAAAUGAGUUAGAAGAAGGAGAACAUAGAAUGCUCAAAGAAAAAUAUUGUCUCAUUUCAUUAGCGCUAGUUAAAUUUUUUCAAUAUUUAUUUGCCCAUUUCUCCUAUUCCACAACUUCUUUGCUAAACUAAAAACUAUCCCAACGAAGAACUACACUUAGGGGCUGAGAAGUGGGAUGUGGGGAGUGGGUGGGUUGGGUGAAUAGGUGAUUUUAUACAAAUUCAAAAGGUUCUUCCUUUCUUCCCACAACCAUUCAACAAAGGAUAAAAAUCACAAGCAAGCAUGAAUGCAACAAUACUCUCCUAAUAAUUUAUAGAUGCAAGUCAUGUGCAAAUGCUUCAACACUCCCCAAUUACAUUAAUUCAUAAGAAUAAUUAUUUCCGUAAUACAUUUUGAAUUACCCUUUGAUACCAUUAACAAUAUGAACAAAAAAUUUAUUGAAGAAUAUCCAAAAGGUAAUCACACCAAUUUUAGCUCAUAUUUUAUCAUUUCAACAUACAUGCUCAAGUAAAAAAUAAUAUCUAAUAUUGGAAAUAAAUCAAAGAGUAGAAUGAAAGUAAGAGAGAUAAUGACACCAAAUUUUACAUGAAAAAUCUCCUUAGAGAUCAAAACUAUGAACCUACCAACGAUAAAGAAUUCCUCUAUGACGAACAACCAAUUUGUACAAGGUUUUACUUAACUUAAGCUUGCUAAUCCUUCAUAGACUACAUAACCAACACCUUCUUACUUUAGCUGCAUGCGUUCAUCUUCCAUAAUAUACUUGGAGUCCUCACCAAGUUUGAUCUUGAUCUUGAAGUUCAAUUAAGAAGAAAAUGAGUUUUCACCUAAAACCUAAAUAGAUAGGAAAUUGAAAGAUGAAUGGAAUAGAAGAAUCAACCCCUUUUUUUUUUUUUAAGGAAAUCUAUUGGAAUAUAGUUUGGAAAUCAAGAUGAAAAAGGGAAUUUUCUUGACAACCAAACACCCUUAACUAGAUAAGGAUAGAGAGAGCUCAAGAGAGAAGGAGAAUGGUUGCAGAUAUCUAUUCCCCAAAAUAGGAAGCAAUUUUAGGUUUUAAAUGGAAAGAACCCCUUGAUCCAAUGGUUAAGAAAAAAAAAAACCUAAAUCAAUUUGACCAAAACCUGGAUCAAUUUUAGAACAUGACAUUUAAACACCUAGACAAAAAUAGUUGUCCUGGCUUCCUCAACUCUUUUUAGAAACAAAUAGUUCUAGAAGAAACACUUUGAAAAACUUUGGUUGAUUCCAUCUCAUCCAUCUACAACCUCAACUAUAUACCUUAGUCCCUUAGUAAAUUCAAUAUGUUGAUCUUCAUUAGGCUAGUAGUCUGAGGAAGGAUUUGGAAAAACUGAGUUAAAUACUUAGGAAAUUUGUCUGGAAUUACUAAUCUAGCUAAACACUCAUAAAAACAUAAAUACUUGUAUUACUUUAUCAUAAAGCUUCCCUUAUUGUUUUUGGGUCUUUGCAAAAUCAUCAAAUAAGAACAAGUGAGAACAAUGUGCUCUCCAUAUGUCUUUUAAGUGUUUUUUUUUUUUUAUUCUAACAAAUGGAAACCACAAUUCCCAACAAAGCCUUUAUAUUCCUCACAAUGCUCUCCAUGGAUAGUUUAUGCUAUCAUGAAGAAAUAAUUCGGAUAUUGAUGAGUACAAGAAGCAGCACAUCACUUAUCACAACUUUUAACCUCUACAAAGAUGAACAUGACAUUUCCAUCACUAAGUUACAAAUGAUAGCAAUCACUUCAUCUUCUUUAACUGAAGCACAAUUUUUUUGGUAGUUGAGUUUGAAUUUCUAGUAGGGUUUUUGCAUUGAAUCAACUUCAAGGAAGCAUUAGUAGAUCUUUAAUUAGAUUUACAAAAGUAGUACUUGUGUGCAACAUUCCAACUAGUCCUUUCUACAUAUUGUUAAUGAGUAAAAAAAUGCAUGCAAUUCAUAUUUGAGUCUAUCUAUUUUCAUGAAAACUCGAGGAACUUCCAAUCCAUAGGCACUUGAUGCCUGCAUUGCAUGAAACCUUUUGUUGCAUCAAAAACCCUAAAAAAUAAUUUGCAAAUGUGAAAUUUCGAUAGCUAGUACUAGUAGAAACUAAUGAUUUCAAGAACCCAAUCGAAUUAUGUUAUUUACAUAUUUCACAACAAAAAGAGCAAAUUUGAUCAAGAUAUACUUUGUGUGAUUGCUAUGAGACUUGAGAAGGACUAGAAGGUGAUCAAAGAGCUAUUCUACAAGAGGAACAAUGUCUCUCUUGAUGAUGUGGUAGUCAAGACACUUCAAACAUUACAAGGAUGGUAUAAAUAGGUUUUUUUUUUUUUUUUUUUUUUUUGCAUGCUUGUUAAUGUAUGAAUUGAAGCAAUUAAGGCUAGAUUAGUUGGAUUGACAUCAACAUUAGAGCUUGAGUUGAUUUGAGAUAUCACUCAAUUAGAUUGAUUAAUGUACAACCUAAACUUGAUUAAUGUUCAUCUUCAAUCUUCUUGGUUAGAGGAGUUCCAUAUUGCUUAUUAUAUUCCUCAGCAAUGUCCUUUAUAUCAACAUUGGCUCGGGUUACAAUAACUCGAGUUAAGGCUUCUUUUUCAUCCUCGUUUGCGUUAACUUUCAUUGCCGAAUCUUAAAUCUAAGAUUAAAAAAAAAAAAUUGUCCAAGAAAUGCUUCAACCAAAAAAAAAAAAAAGAUUAUUUUUUUAAUGUGUUAUAGUGAAUUUAUCUCACCUUACUGAAAUACAUCGGAUGAGCAUACAAGCAAUAAAUUGUGUUCUUCAAACUUGUCUCAUCAAGAUCCUAAACAAUGAGGAAUUAUAUUAAAAUGAAUAUUUUUGAAAGCUAAUUCAAGGAAAAAUGAGUUCUAAUAAAUAUUAAAAUGAAAAGAAUUGUUCAAAGUAACACAGGAAUGAGAAUUGUUUUUUUUUUUUUAAAAGAAUUUAUAAAAAAUACUGGAGUUUAAAAACAAUAUAAUGAAUAAGAAUAAAAAUAGAGUAAAAAAAAAAAGGCACAUGAGUGGACCACACAAAUAAUGUUCCAUGAUUCAAAACAAUAUGCUUUUCCUUAUAAUUUGUAUGUCCAUAAUUUUACAUGUUAAACUAUUAGCAAAGUAUAUAUUUCAAUUUAAUUACUUCUUAGAAUGUAUUUGGCAUGUGAAAAUAAAACAAAAAUAAAGAUAAAUCAUAACAUCACGUAAAAGAGAAAAAAUUAAAAUCCAAAAAACAAAAAAAAAGAAUUUUGUAUCCACAAGAUUGAAAUUUUAAUUUCAUUCUUAUAUUUAAUAAGUAAUUUGGACUUAGAAGAAAUAAAUAGGAAAUGAAAUAGGUUCUUUUUAUUCCUAUACCCAUUUUCUAUUCUAGUGUUUCAAAUAUGUAAAGUGAUAAUAGUAGAGGAAAAGGGAAGAGAAGGAAAUACAAGGAAGAGGAAAAAGGAGCAAAGAAAGAGAAAAAAAAAAAGAACAUAAAAUAACAAAGAAGGAUAACAAAUACUAACUUUUAAGUUAAAUACUAAUUACCUUUCAUUUUUUUUUCUUUUUCACUUUAUUCAUUUAUUAUUGUUUAAGUAAAGAAUAAAAAGUGCAUUUGAUAUGGAGGAAUUAAAAUACAAUAGGAAUGUUGGAUGACGUGUAUUAUGUAAAAAAAAAAUUAUAAUAAUAUAUAUACUUAAGAAAAAUUGUGUUUUCACACAUUCACUCAUGUAAAAAUAAGGAAAAAGUGUGUUUUCAUAUACUUGCAUAAAAAUAAUUACAAAAUAGGAACUUUGUAAAAAUGAUUCAAGUUUUAUGCACUCAUCUAAUCAAAUAUAGUAUCUAUAUCAUUAAAAUAUAGUAUUUGAAUGAUCAAAAUUGUAAUUUGAGCAAAAGUGCAUGAAAUGCUAAUUAUUUUUAGAUAACUACUUGAAAUUUGUAUUUUAUAAAUUUGAGUUCCCAUUUGGUGGUUUUUUCAUAUAAAUGUAUGGAAACACAUUUUUUUUUUUUUUACUUCUCAUUUCCAUUUUUUAAAUAAUUCAAAUAUAAUAAUGAUUGGAAAAUAGAAUAGAUUUCCUAUUCCUAUUUCAUAUUCUAAUGUUUCAAACAGGCCAUAAGAAUUAACAAAUAUAAUAUCAUGAUUAUGUUAUACCUCUUCAAUUUUCUUGUUAAAAGUCUUCUAGUAACAUUUGAAGAUGACCUUGAGCUGAGGCUUGCUUCUUGUUGCUAGAAUCCUUACAAUCUCUUCAUCUUUGAAUAGCUUCUUCUUAUAACCUUGUCUAUUAAUGGUUAUACCAAGUUUUACAGCCUCUGAUCUAACUGCCACAUCACUAAUUCGUGAUCCUUCAUAUCUGUACGUACUUACAAGUGCUACCAAAAGCUGUUGAUACAAGAAGCAAUUUUUCAUUACAUUAUUUCAUGUUGAUUAUAAUAUUUGUUACAUGGUUUCUUUAUGUGGUUAUGAGUUUUUAGUUAUCAUUAGAGAGAAUGUGUUUGAUUAAAGCUCUCCAAAAUCAAAGAUGUGGGAGGGAAAGAACUAUGUUUGGUUGGUGGGCAAAAUGGGCUUUCAAGUUUCAAAUUACGACAUACAAUGGGCUAGGUUCAGUUAAGAACAAGACUUUGAGGGUGUUUGUCUUUUUAGCUUUUUAUUGAAAGCAAUUUGCUUUUGGACUUUAAGUUGUUUGUUUUUUUACUUUUCAUGACUUAUUAUAAAUUUUUGGUUGAAUAGAAAAAACUAAAAUAUUUGGUUGAAUAGAAAAAAUCAAAAUAUUUGGCUUUUUCUAAAUGGAUAAAGUACCAUGUUGUUUUUCUUUACCUUUUAAUGCUUAAUAGAAAUAAAAUAUUAAAAAAACAAACAACCUAAUACUUAACAAUAUUAAGCACUAUUUAGUUUUAAUUUCUAUUUAAAAUUAAGUAAGAAAACAAACACCACCUUAUGCUUUUUGGCCCAUAAAUGAACUUCAAAUUGGAUCCAAAAUAUGAUAAAGCUUGAAGUCCAAUUUAUUAUGGUUAGGCUUAGGGGUUGUACAGAUUAUUGGAUGGAGUUUUUGAAGUGUUGGACCAAACUAAAAUGAAAUCUCAACUAUUGAGUUGAUAUUUGAUGAUAUUGAUAGAUAAUUAAACUAAGAGCCCGUUUGACAAUGAUUUUAGGAAGUGUUUCUAACAUUUUUAAUGCUUAAAAAUUUAUAUCAUUCAAGUGUUAGAAAGACUAGAAACAUUUUAUAAAAUUACUAUCAAACGCACUCUAAAAGUAUGUUUGACAAUAGUUCUAGAAAGUGCUUUUAACUUAAAAAGUGUUUUUGAAAAAAAUUAGAUGUUUAGUAAAAUUUAGGAAACACUUCUAAAAAUAUGAAAAAUCACUUGUAGUAUUGAAAAGUCACUUAUAGUAUUUUUUUGGAGAAACACUUGAUAAAUGGUUUUUGUAAAAAUAUUUCUAAAGAAAACACUUCCAUUAAAAAUACUUUAAGUUGCCAAACACACUUUAAGAGUAUAUUUGACAGUGUUUCUUCUUGAAGUGUUUUUAGCCUAAAAAGAGUUUUUGAAAAAAAUUGGAUGUUUGGUAAAAUUUAGGAAACACUUCUAAAAAUAUGAAAACUCACUUAUUGUAUUGAAAAGUCACUUAUAGUAUAUUUUUUUGGAGAAACACUUGAUAAAUGAUUUUUUUAAAAAAAAAAUUUGAAGUGUUUUCUACAUUUUUCCAAACAGUUGAUUUUUCUUCAAAAACAGAUUUCUUAUUUCUUUUUUAUACUAAAAGUGCUUUCUAGAAAUACUAUCAAUCGGACUCUUAAAUUACCUUUCAAAUAUGACCAAAUUGCUUUCUAAAUAUGAUCAUCUUACAUAAUUAUGACCAUAGUAAUUCUUGAUUGGUUCAUUAACAUGACUAUAUAUAUUACCUCUCACAGUAUCCUAACCAACACUGCACCAUAUAAAACUCCAUUAUUGAGAAAAGACACAAUUAUAGGACUUUCUAGGAGUCCAACUAAUGGGGACAAAAAAAAAGUUCGAAACUCCAAUUGUAGAAGAGUAGGCUCAAAAGAUCAUUUGCAAUUGCAUACUUUAUGGAGAAAAUAUAUGUUAGAAAGAAAGACGAAUGCCAUCUUUUUAAGAAAUAAUUAGUCAAAAUGCUUCAAUAAAUUAAUAAGAUAGAAAUGCUCUUUACUUGAUUAAAAAUUGCAUAAUAUCUCACUAAUCUAGGUCAAUUUUUAUUUUCAAAUAAAACAACUAAAAAUAAUGCUCAUACACUUCAAAUAUAGUUUGAUGCAAAAAAGAAAAAAAGAAAAAAAAAACGUAACUAAAAGUAGUACUAACCUGGCGUUUGAUGCCUUCAACUCGGGAAGCAACAUCUUCCUCGAUGGAUUCACCAUAGAGGGACUGGUAUGCUUUCCUAGCUCCCAAGAGCCCGUCUGAUGAUUUGAUGCAUGCAAGUUCAAUGAGUAAGCCAUAUGCUUGAGGGUGUCCGUCCAAAGCCUUCCUUGCCAUGCGAGCAUCUCUUUCCUAAGGAUGCAUGGUCCAUUGCACCACAACAUCCUGACCACAAAAAUGUUAAAAAACUAAUCAUAUUAUUGUAAAAACCAAUAUUUAAGUCAUCAUUUGUCUCCUUGUCUUUUCUAAUUGGCUUGUAAUUUUUGUUUUCUCAUAAGAAUUAAUUUUUUUUAAAAGAUAAAAUAAUAUAUAAAUAUCUUUAAUUUUAUGUUUCGCAUAAAUACCUAAUUUUAUAUUGGACAUAUAAUACCUGAAAACGCAGAAAUUCCUUUACUAGAAAUGCAAUAUGAUAAUCUUGCCAUCUCUCAAACAAGAAGUAUUUAUCCUUAAGAAAGAUGGAAGAACUUUCAUUCCUAAAAGUUGUCAAGUCUUUUGGACGCCAUUUUACUAAGAUCUCCAUCAUUGAUUUCUCGUUAACUCCAAGUAUUCCUAGAAAGGUAAAUCAAGAUUAUUUCAACCUUCUAAUCAAUAUUAAUAAUGAAAGAACAAAGAAACAAUUUGAAAUCAUAUGGGACAUGAGAUCACAUGAAAUCAUCCAUAUUGUCACAAAUUUUCACUAGAAUUAUUAAAAAAAAUAACAUACCACAAUAAGUACAACUAGAGUAAACAAAUUGAAUGUAAAAGAAUGCAGUUGUUUGUGAUUUAGAAAAAAUAAAGUCAAGGGAGAAGGAGAAAGAACCAGAGAAAGCCUUUGUGAGAGUGCGGCUCUCAUUUGGCAAAGACAUAAUUUUUCUCCCUUCUUCGUUUGUUUUCUUUUUCCUUCUUUUGAUGUAGGCAUCAAGAAUGGUGGCCUUCUUUACCUCCAUCAGCUGCAUGCCUUCAUCUUUUGGAACAUUCUUGAAGUCCUCACCAAGCUUGACCUCGACUUCUUCAAGUUCAAUCAAGAAGAAAACGAGUUUUCAUCCAAAACCUAAAUAAAUAGUAAUUGAAAGAUGAAUAGAAUAGAAGAAGAAAAUGAGUUUUCAGCCAAAACCUAAAUAAAUAGGAAAUUGAAAGAUGAAUGGAAUAGAAGAAUCAACCCAUUUUUUAAGAAAAUCUGAUGGAAAACAAUUUGGAAAUCAAGAUCAAAAAGAGAAUUUUCUUAACAACUCAACACGCUUAAUUAGAUAAGGAUAGAGAGAGCUCCAGAGAGAAGGAGAACGGCUGCAGGUAUCUCCUCCCAAAAUAGGAAUCAAUUUUAGGUUUUAAAUGGAACGAAACCCUUGAUCCAAUGGUUAAGAAAACAUAAAGAAAAAAGCAACUUGAAUCGACCUGACCAAAAUCUAAAUCGAUAUUGAAACAAGGCGUUUAAACACUUAGACAAGAAAAGUUGUCCUGACCUCCUCAACUCUUUUAAGAAAUAAAUAGUUCUAGAAUAACUAAUUGAAAAACUUGGUUGAUUCAUUUCGUCCAUCUACAACCUUAACUACAUCUUUUGGUCCCUUAGUAAAUUCAACAUUUUGAUCUUCAUUAGGCAAGUAGUCCAAAGAAGGAUAUGGAAAAAUUGUGUUAAGAGACACUUAGGAAAUUUGUCCAAAAUUAUCAACCUAACUAAACACUCACAAAAACAUAAAUACUUGUAUUACUUUAUCAUAAAGUUUCCCCUAUUGUUUUUAGGUCUAGAAAAAUCAUCAAACAAUUUCUGGACAAGGUGUAACUAGAUGUUGCCGAUGCCAAUGGAGUUGUGCUUGUAGAGAUGAGCCUCAAGUAGAGAAGGAGCAUUGCUAAAGAACAAGUGAGAAUGAUGUGCUCUCCAUAUGUCUUCUAAGUGUUUUUAUCUUUAAAUAUGUUCUCUGAAAACACAGUUUUGAGAAGACAUAGAACAACAUUGUUUUUUAAAUCACCAUUUGUCAAACAUGUUUUUAAGUGUUUUUUAUUCUAAAGAAUGAAAACCACACUUUCCAACAUAGCCUUUUUAUUCCUCACAAUGCUUUCCAUGGAUAGUUUAUGCUAUCAUGAAGAAAUAAUUUGGAUAUUGAUGAGUACAAGAAGCAACACAUCGCUUAUCACAACUUCCAACCUCUACAAAGAUGAACAUAGCGCUUCCAUCACUAAGGUGCGGAUGAUGGAAAUUACUCCAUCUUCUUUAACUGAACCACAAUUUUAUUUUAUUUUUUUUUGGUAGCUGAGUUAGAAUUUCUAGUAGGGUUUUUGCAUUGAAGCAACUUCAAGGAAGUAAUAGAUCUUUAAUUAGAUUUAUGGAAGUAGUACUUGUGUGCAACAUUCCAACUAGUCCUUUCUACACAUUGUUAAUUAGUAACAAGUGCAUGCAAUUCAUCAAUGACUCUUUGCCUAUUUUCAGGAACUUCAUCAAGGACUUCCAAUCUAUAGGCACUUGAUACCUACAUUGCAUGCAACCAUUUGGUGCAUCAAAAACCCUAAAAAUACUUUGCAAAGGUGAAAUUUCCAUAGCCAAUACUUGUAGAAACUAGAUUGUAUUUCUUGAUUACUAGUAAAAUUCUAAUGAUUUCAAGAGCACCCAAUCCAAUUGUGUUAUUUGAGUAUUGCAUAACAAAAAGAGAAAAUUUGAUGUAGUUAUACUUACUUUGUGUAAUUGUUAUGAGACUUGAAGGUGAUCAAAAAGCCAUUUUCUGAUUAAUUAAAUUUUAUGGCUAAUAAUAAUUGCUCAUAGACUUAGAGCAACAAACUCGCCAAAAAAAUAUAUAUAUAUUGUGGAAAAAAAAUCUUUUAUCACAAGAUACUAAUUUUUAAUCAAAAAUUAGUUUGUGACAAAACCUCAUAUUUGUUGUAGUGGCAUUACAAGGAUGGAAUAAGUAAGUUUUUUUUAAUUUUUUUUUUUGCAUGCUUGUUAAUGCAUCGUUCGACAUGAUUAAGGUUGAAUUAGUUGGAUCGACAUCAACCUUAAAGCUUGAGUUGAUUUAAAAUACCACUUAAUUAGAUUGAUUAACGUACAAUCCAAACUUAAAUUAGGGUUCAGAGUUUAUGAUUUGGUUUGGAGAAGAAGUUGGCCAAUUAACCUAAUGCCCAAAAGACCACUUUUUUAAAAAAGAAAAAAAAUGCUAUGAAGAUAGGUUUUUUGAAAUUAAAUGAUAUUAUCACACACUAUCCUUAAUCCAAAUAGAAUAUUAUUAUAUAACCAAGCUUCAAUCAAUUAAAAGGCAUGCUUUGGAACUCAAUCAUACUAGAAUUAAUGAUUUAUUAAAGUUUCACUUCAUAGGAACACCACACUUUUUAUUAUUACACAUUGCUCUUGCAAACAUAGGAAAAUAAAGCAUUAGUAGAGUUUGAUUCAAAGAAAAAGAACAAGUCCAUCAAGAGAGGCAUUUUUAAUCACUUCCUUUAGGCAGAGCUCUUUGGACCAACGUGACCAAGAAAUCUUUAUGAUUUCCAAGAGCUACAUCUUCAAUCUUUUGGGUUAGAGGAGUUUUAUAUUGCCUAUCAUAUUCCUUAGCAAUGUCCUUCAUAUCAACAUUAGCUCGGGUUACAAUAACUCGAGUUAGGGCUUCUUUUUCAUUCUUGUUUGCAUUAGCUUUCGUUGCUGAAUCUAAAAUCUAAGAUUAAAAAGAAAAAAAAAAGUUCAAGAAAUGCUUUAACAAACAAAAAUAAAAAGAUCAUUUUUGUAAUGUGUAUAGUGAAUUUAUCUCACCUUACUGAAAUACUGUGGAGGAUCACACAAGCAAUAAAUUGUGUCCUUCAAACUUGAUUCCUCAUCAAGAUCCUAAAUAAAUUAAAUACGGAGGAAUUAUAUUAAAAUGAAUAUUUAUGAAAGCUAAUUCGAGGAAAAAUGACUUCUAAUAAAUAUUAGAAUGAAAAGAAUUGUUCCCAGUAACACGAGAAUGAGAAUUGUUGUCCUACUUAUUUAUUUAUUUUAAAAAAAAGAGAAUUUAUAAAACAAAAAAUAAUAAAAAUAGAGGAAAAAACUAAAAAAUAAUGUUCCAUGAUUUGAAAUAAUAUGUUUUUCCGUAUAAUUUGUAUGUUCCUGAUUGUACAUGUUAAACUAUUAGCAAAGUAUAUAUUUCAAUCUAAUUACUUCUUAGAAUGUAUUUGGUAUCUGAAAAUAGGAAUAAAAAUAAAGAUAAAUCAUAACAUCAUGUAAAAGAGGAAAACCAAAAUUUGAACAAGAUAGAAUUUUGCAUCCACAAGAUUGAAAUUUUACUUUCAUUCUUGUAAUUUAAUAAGUAAUUUGGACUUAGAAAUGAAUAGGAAAUGGAAUGGUUUUUAUUUUAUUUUUUAUUUUUUUAUUUAUUUUUCAUUCCCAUUUUCUAUUCUAGUGUUUCAAAUAUUACACAAUUUUUCUUUAAUUUUUUCCAAGUAAAAAAGUGAUAAUAGUAGAGGAAAUGAGACAAUAGGGACAUAUAAGAAAGAGAAAAAAAUGAUAAUAGUAGAGAAAAUGGGACAAUAGGGACAUAUAAGAAAGAGGAAAAAAGAACAUAGGAUAACAAAGAAGGUAACAAAUACUAACUUUAAGUCUAAUGCUAAUUAACUUUCACUUUUUUUUUUUCUUUAUUUCACUUUAUUCAUUUAUUAAUAUAUAAGUAAAGAAUAAAAAGUGCCUUUGAUAUGCAGGAAUUAAAAUAUGAUAGGAAUGUUGGAUCACAUGUAUUUUCUUAAAAAAAAAAAAGGGAAAUCAAAAUUUUUUUGGUAAUAAUUUAUUUUUUUACUUCUUAUUUCUAUUUUUGAAAUUAUCCAAAUGUAAUAACGAAUGAAAAAUGGAAUAGAUUUCUCAUCCCCAUUUCAUAUUCUAAUAUUUCAAAUAGGCUCUAAGAAUUAACAAAUAUAAUAUCAUAAUUAUGUCAUACCUCUAUAAUGUUCUUGUUAAAAGUCUCCUGGUAACAUUUGAUGACAGCCAUGAGAUGAAUCUUGCUUCUUGUUGUUAGAAUCCUUACGAUCUCUUCAUCUUUGAUUAGCUGCUUCUUGUCACCAAUACUAAUGGAUUUUUCGAGUUUUUGAGUGUCCAAUUUAAUUGCCCGAUCAUUAGUUUUUGAUCCAUCAUAUCUGUAUGAACUUACAAGUGCUACCAAAAGCUGUUGAUACAAGAAGCAAUUUUUCAUUACAUUAUUUCGUGUUGAUAAUAAUAUUUGUUGCAUGGUUUCUUUAUGUGGCUAUAAGGUUUUAGUUAUCAUUAGAGAGAAUGUGUUUGAUUAAAGCUCUCCAAAAUCAAAUAUGUAGGAUGGAAAAAACUAUGGAAAGGGUUGGACCAAACUAAAAUGAAAUCUCAACUAUUGAUUUGAUAUUUGAUGAUACUAACAAAUAAAUAGACUAAGAGUGCGUUUGAUAGUGAUUUUAGAAGACGUUUAUAGCAUUUCUAACACUUAAAUGAUACAAAUUUUAAAGUAUUAAAAAGUUUGGAAACACUUCCUAAAAUCACUGUCAAAUGGGCUUUAAGAGUCUAUUUGACAGUAAUUUUAGGAAGUGUUUUUAACAUAAAAAGUUUUUUUGGAAAAAAAAAUUGAUGUUUGAAAAAAUUUAGGAAAUAUUUUUAAAGAUUUGAAAAAUCACUUAUAAUGUCUUUCUUUUUUUUAAGAAACACUUGAUAGAUGAUUCGUCUAAAAACACUUUAAUUAAAAAUACUUCGAGUAAAAACACUACUAAAUGCACUUAAAAAAUGUAUUUGGCAAUGUUUCUAUUUGAAAUACUUUUAAUAGAAGUGUUUUGUUUACAAGUAUUUUUAGGUGAUUUUUUAAUUUUUGAAAAGUAUAUUCUAAAUUUUUCCAAACAAUUGAUUUUUCUUCACAAAUGGUUUAUAUAUAUAUAUAUAAGUGCUUUUUAGAAGCACUAUCCAACAGACUCUAAGUUACCUUUCAAAUAUGACCAAGUUACUUUCUAAAUAUGAUGAUCACAUUAAUUCUCGAUUGGUUCCUUAAUAUGACUAUAUAUAUUACCAGUCAUACUAACCUAACCAAGACUGUACCACAUAAAACUCCUUUAUUGAGAAAAAACACAAUUAUAGGACUUUCUAAGAGGCCAACUAAUGGGGUUUUAAGGCUCAAAAUAGGUGGCUUAAACCCAAAAAAAAGUUCCAAACUCCAAUAGUACAAGAGUAGGCUCAAAAGAUUAUUUGCAAUUGCAUAUCCUUAAGCCCAACCAUCAUUUAUGGAAAAAAUAUAUGUUAGAAAGGAAUAUGAAUGCCAUUUUUCUUAAGAAAUAAUUGGUCGAAAUGCUUCAAGAAAUUUAUAAGACAGAAAUGCUCUUCACUUUAUAAAAAAUUGCAUAAUAUCUCACUAAUCCAGGUCAUUUUUUUUUUCAAAAAUAACAACUAAAAAUAUGAUCAUAUACUUGUACUAACUUGGCGUUCGAUGCCGUCAACUUGGGAAGCAACAUCUUCCUCGAUGGAUUCGCUGUAGAGGGACUGGUAUGCUCUCCUAGCUCCCAAGAGCUCGUCUAAUGAUCGAGUGCAUGCAAGUUCAAUGAGUAGGCCAUAUGCUUGUCUACCUCUUUUCAAAGCCUUCCUUGCCAUGCGAGCAUCUCUUUCCCAAGGAUGCAUGGUCCAUUGCACCACAGCAUCCUGACCACAAAAAUGUUCAAAAAACUAAUCAUAUUAUUGCAAAAACCAAUCUUAAGUCAUCUUUAGUCUCCCUGUCUUUUGUACUUCCAUUGUAAUUUUUGUUUUCUUAUAAGAAUUAAUUUUUUUUUAUGAUAAAUAAUAUAUAAAUAUCUUUAAUUUUAUAUUAACAUAAAUAUCUAAUUUUGUAUUUGAUAUAUAGAUACCUUAAAACGCUUAAAUUCCCUUUUUAGAAAUUUAAGAAGAAUUUCUUCAUAUUUCUCAAACGGGAAGCGUUCAUCCUUCAAAAAGAUGCUAGAAGUUUCAUUCCUAAAAGUUGACAAGUGUUCUGGUUGCCAUUUUACUAAGAUCUCCAGCAUUGAUUUCUCGUCAACUCCAAAUAUUCCUGGAAAUGUAAAUCAAGAUUAUUUCAACCUUCUAAUAAAUAUCAAUAAUGAAAGAACAAACAAACAAACUGAAAAAUGUUUGAAUAUGGGAAUUAUGUAACAUUUGCUCUCCCGAUAUGAUAAUGUAUCUAAAUUCAAAAUUGUUAUAUUAAUUUGUAGACUGUAUUCAUUAACCAGUGGGGAGAAAAAACUAUAGUGUAAAUUACAAAAAAAAAAAAAAAAAAAGGUUUCAUAUGGGACAUGAGAUCAUAUGUAAUCAUCCUUACUAUCACAAAUUUUCACUAGAAUUAUUAAGAAAAUAAUAGAUGAAUGAGUAGAAAGUAUAUUGUAAAAGAAGGCAGUUGUUUGUGAUUUAGAAAAAAACAAAGUUAAGAGAGAAGGAGAAAUUACCAGAGUGAGAAACAGAGAAAGACUUUGCAACAACAUCUGACGAAGACAUAAUUGUUUUCCCUUCUUUGUUUGUUUGUUUUUUCCUUCUUUUGAUGGAGGCAACAAGAAUGGUGUCCUUCUUUACCUCCAUCAUGGCAUUAAUUUUAUGAGUAAGCUAAAGGGGUAUAUAGGGUAAGCAGGACCAUGAGACUAAAAGAUGGAAUGACUUGUGGGAGGGAGGAAAGGUCUUAAUUGUAUGUAGUCAUUAUAGUGUACUUGCAUUCAUUUAUGGGAUUCUUAAGUUAUUUUUGAAGUUUUAUCCACUUUUAAGACUUGAAUCUUUUUAAUUUGAAUUUGAGCCAGACUUGAGGGUGGUUUUAGCUUAUAAAAAAAUGUUAAAAAUAUUAGGGCUCCUUUGAAGUGAAUUUGACAAGGAGGCUUUUGGUCUAUAGCAUUUUUUUUAAUAGUACUUCUAGCUACUACACUUAUUUUUAUAGAGAAUUAUUUAGUGUCUAUGUAAAUUAAAAAACAAUAAUUUUUAUAGUAUGUUCAGUAAUAUCGAUUUUUAGAAGAAGCAUUUAUCGAUAGUACUAAUUUAAGAAUCAUUUCAAGUGAUUCUUCAAAAAUUUUAAAAUAGAUAAUAAAGGAUUUUUAUUCCCCAACAACAAUGGAAAUACUAUGUAUUGCUAAUUUAGAUUAUGAAAUAGCAAGAGAAAUUUUGACACUCAUAAAUGUUGACUUCUCUAAAUGCAUUCAUGAAAGUUAAAGUUUAGAAUAGACAAUAUUUAUAUAUAGAAUUCUCAAAUUAGAAGGAUAAUUUUUUUAUAUAUAAUUAUUAAAAAAUAGAAAAUAUAUGCAUAAGAUAACAAUGAGAUAUAUACUCCAACAGAGAAUCUUGUAAAGUGGUUUCAAAAUUUUGAAUUAUUUGUUUAUUAAAGGAGCUCCUUACGAGAAAUAUUCAAAAGGGGUUCCAAAUUUUAAGACUUUUAACAUGUUCAAUGAAAUCUAUAUUUAUGCCAAACUUGCUCUUGGAGAAGGGCACAUUAUCUAGUUUGGUUAAUUAGAAGUGAUAAGAGGUUCCAAAGUUUAGAAUUCUUCUCAUAUUAUAGAAACCAUAUUUUAUUUUAUUUUAUAAUUUCUUCGAGAAACAUUUCCAUCGAAAGGUGCAAGAAGGUAUUUGGCAGAAGUGUCUUUGCACCACUUUUUUUUUUAAAAAAAAAAAAUAAAGAUUUGAGAAAAAUGCAAGUGUAUUGUUUACAUGUAAUCAUUUUUUUGACAUAAAAAAGUAGAACAACCUUCAAAAUUAAGUAAUUUCAUUAUCAAAACAUUAAUGAAACUAUUGUAGAUUCCAUUUAAGGGACUAAAGGUUUAGAGUAUGUUUGGAACAUUGAAAUAGAAAUUAAGAAUGAAAAUUCAUUUUAUUUUCUAUUUACUAUUGUAGAAAUAAGAGUAUAGGAAUAAAAUACUUGUUCUCACUGAAACUAAAAUCCAUUCUAGCCAGGAUUUUAAUUCCCUUUAUUCUACAUAGUAUUUUUAUUUUUAUUUAUCCCCAUUCUUAUUCCCAUUCCUAUGUAACUAACUUACCCUUACUUUUCUUAAAUAGUAAGAGAAGGUUGAUUUUUUAAAAAAUUAUUCUCAUUUCAAAGUAAAUUGGCUAACUACUCUUUGUUUCUUGGCUAGGAGGAAAUAAAUCUUUUGAGUUACAUAUUAUGUAUCCUUAGCCAUUUUUCUUCCUUGUGAAGCAACUAUAUAACUUUGACAAAGACUUCGAUUCAAUGGUGAAGAAAAGAAAUGUGCUUCUAUGUUCAUGAAAAAGGAUACCAACUUGUGCCUCUCUUUGUCUCUGUCUUUGUCUCUCUCUCUACUAAAAUGAAUAAAGUAGAUCUAAUACAAUUACAAUGGAUGACAUUGAGGAUUCACAUAAGAAUGACGUAUUGGCAUAAUGAUCAAAGAACAAAAUAAAGUUAGUAAUCUGUAAAUAUGAAAAAGAAGCAACAAAUUAUGAGAGUCAUCUACACUUCAACUUUAACUGCAUAUUUUGCUUUAGAUAAGAUAUGUGGGUCCUUAAAUAAUCUUUCAAGUUAAAUGAAACAUCGCUUUCAACAUUAGAAAAAAAAAACAAAAAGAAGAAAAAAACUAAAGAAAAAAUCACAAUUUUUAUGCUUAUUAUUUAUAUUUCUUAGUUAAUAUAACAUAAUGGUUAGGCAAUUUUUAGUAAAUACAUGAUAAAAUAUAAUCAAAUUAGCUAGAAUAUUAAAUUCAUCUUUUGAUAAUUUGAUUUUUAGGUAGGUAAAUGUUUCGGUGGUUAAAUUAUUAUUAAAUUAUUAUUAUUAUUAUUAUUAUUAUUAUUAUUAUUAUUAUUAUUAUUUUAUAAAGAUUAGGCAAAAAAAUUUCUUAUUAUGGGUUAUGUUACACCCAAAAAUUCGAGAACAUUACUUAAUCUAUACUUAAGAUCCUACCAUGAUUCCACACUUCAAAUUAGGAUUAAGAAGAAGAAAUCAUCACGUUCAUGUGCAUAAACCACUAGAUGUAAAAUAGACAAUUUUACAUCUCAUCACAUUGAACAUCAAAUGGGAGAGCUUGAGAAUAACAUAGAAUAGAGCUCAAGUAAUAAUUAACUUGUCACACACCAAAGUUUAAUCCAUGGUACAUCAUGAUAAUAUAAAUAAGUACUUUGGAUCUGAUGCCCAAAGACAUGUCUAUGCCUCCUAUCACAUCCACAUGGGAUCUUCUUAAGUUAGCUUUCACUUGUUUUAGAAUCCCAAUGUCCUCUCCUUUAAGGCUUUCACCCUCACCUUUGCCACCAUUAAUUAAAGAGCAGGAACUUACCUUUAUUGGUACUAACAACCAAUGGUUUCCAACAUCUCCAAGGCAAAACCUUUAUCGAUUCCAAAAAUUCAAACCUUCAUAACCAAAGAGAUACCUACCUAUUUGGUUCCUCAAGGAACCAUCCCUGAUCAAGGUUCAAGUAGUAGCCCUACAACAAACCAUGAGCUGACAAGUGUAGCUUUGCAUUAAUCCAUUAUAGUAUGCUUGAGCUCUACAACGGUUACAUGCAUGAAAUAUGUUAAAACAAUACAUACUUAAUGGAUAUCCAUGAAACCAAAUUUUGGAAAGGUAACCAACGGAUACUUAAUCUUAAAAACAGAAGCUACCCGACCAAUGGUGAAAAUCACCAAAAAUCAGUUACUAAAGUAGUUUCUUUUUCCCGUGAUUCAAUUGAUUUAGGUGCUGCAGGUAAGCAAAUUCAUGGAGAAGAAAAUGCAAUGGAGAAAGAUGAGGAGUGUUGGUGAGCUAAAUUAUCUAGUUUAAUUUAAGUUUAAAAUUUUGUUUCCAAACAUUACCAGAUCCACUCUACAUACUUCACUGAGACUAUAUUGGUCAUUGAAGAUUGAGUUCAUCAAUUUAUGUAUGUUGUAUACAGUUGAGUAUGAAAUGAAAGUGGUUAGUAAGCUUAAUGGUAAAUAAAAAGGCAUAGGAUGGUUUUAUGGAAAAAGUGGGCUAAAACACUGCCAAGUUGUGAAAACAUUUCAUGGAGUGCUCAAGAACCCAAGGUGCUCAACUGCCCUUGAUAAGUGCUUAAGCACUCAAGCCAUUUUUUUUAUAAUAAAUUUGUGGUAAAAAAAAAAAAAAAGGAUUCCUUUGUCAUACCCAACUUGUUAGGAUUUUGUUAUAUAGAUAUGCCUUCUAGAGUUUAAAAAAGCUUCAUGUGCCCUAAUAUGAUAUAUAUAUUUUGCAUCCUUAUCCAGUUUUCUUUUUUGUGAAGCAACCAUAUAACUUUGACAAAGACUUUGAUUCAAUGGCAUGAAGAAAAGAUAUGUGCUCCUAUGUUCAUGGAAAAUGACUCACUUGUGCCUCUCUCUCUCCUAAAGUUAAUAAAGUAGAUCUAAAACAGUUUAGACGCCAUUGCAGCUGAUUAAAGUUGAGGAGUACUGUAAUUCAUUGGUUUCUUGGAUUGUUGAUGUUCAUCCUAGGCUCUAAAGGGUCUAUUUAUAGUUAAUGUUUAGAUCAGAAUAUUGUUGAAAGCGUCUAAAACAUGAAGAACGGGAUGGGUCUGCAGGCCACAAAGCGUUGCCGCGGAAAAAGCUUUGGUUAGUACGCAAUUAUUCCAUGAGUAAUUAAUAUAAUUGUAUGACAAUUGUAAACCCAUAAUUCUCUUGGCCGUUUUCUUCGGUCCAGACAUACACACUCGAGCAUUGAAUGGUCAAUGUUUAGCUUUAAAAGCACAAAUUGAAGUUCCCUGGAAAAGUGAAUCUUGGGGCCGGCUUUGUGGCUAGGUGGACAUGCACAACGACAAAGUGCUGUUGUGCCAAGCCCAACUCAAUUUUCAUCACCUUAGCCUAAGUUGAUGCAUGGGUUUUGGUAUUGGGCUUGUGGUAACCCUAAGGUCCAACCUAUCAGGGUUGAGGAGCGUUUUUUUGUUCUUAGCUCAGUUUUUUGUGCCCAUUAUCAUGGGCUACAGCUGGCCCUGUCUUUGGCCUAAUAUAUCAGUUCGAGUAAAAGUAGAUUACAGGGCAAUAGUACAGAAGAGUAUCCACCAGUCCUCUUUCUAGGGUUUUAAACUUCAUCAUUCUCUUGCAAUCUCCGUCUUAUUCUUUCUUCAUGCUUAAGGAAGGACUAUAGUGAUGAGAUUUGUUCCUAUUUCUUUCUAGUUAUGGGCUUAUCCUUGUAUUAAUUGAAAGCUUAUAUUCUUGAUCACGGUAUUACCUAGGAUAUCUUAAAUUAAUAACUUUUAGACUUAUUUCUGAUUGAUUAAAUUAAGUUUAUUUUCCCGUUUUGAUUGAUCAAGUGCAUUUUGAUAACAAUCAUGAAUAUUCAGUCACACAUGGAAAAUCACCUAUAGAGAUUGUCUCAACGCUAAACAUAUGAAAACCACUAACUAGUCAAUUGAUUGCAGUAAAAUUUCACUAAAUAUAAAAUACUAGUGCACAAUUUUAUAAAAUUGAUUGGUGUGGGAUAUUUUUUUUAUUAUUUUAAAAAUUAGUUAAUUAAAUUGUUUCAUUUUUUUGUCUUUUUGAACAUUUAUAAAAUACAAAUGUAAGUUUGGCUUUUCACUAAAAAUUUAUAAUUUGAUAUCAUCCCUACCUAAUAGUCCUUAGGACGGUACGUGGACUUAGCAAAUAAGAGAAAUAAAUAAAUAGUGAGGUUUGAACUUAUAACCUUUGAUAAAAUAAUAUACUUUGAUAUCAUAUUAAAUUUGUGAUUAAAAUAUCAAAAAAUACAGAAAUAUUGAUGGUUGAAUUUGACGAAAAUAUCAUAUCAAAAUUUAAUGAAAAAUAUCAAUAGAAUAGAAGUAAAUCAAAACUUAUAGAAAUAUCGAUAAAACUACAAGAAAUGAUAAAACAAUGAAAGUUAUUUUUUAAAGACCAUAUUACCAAUAUUGAACUUUGGAUAAUGAUAUAUAAUACUUGAAAACACAUUUAAUAUUAAAUAAAUUAUUUAUCUAGUUUAUACAUAUUUAAAGACAUGAAAGAGAAAGAGGUCGUUUUGAAAAAAAAUUUCAAAUGAGGGCCAAAAUGCAUAUUUGGUUGCCCAAUGGGGUUGUUUUUAACCCAAACUCUUAUAUAUCUAUACAUACUCAAGUUGUGUGUACUUUUUUCGCCGCUUCUAGGCAUUACUAAUACAAUCUCUCAUUUACCUAUAAAUAUAAAAAAAAAAUCUAUACAUACUCAAGGAUGAAAAUAUCAAUAAAUAUAGGUAUAUUGAUACUUGAAUCUUACAGAUAUAUUGAAAAUUACAUCAGUAGAUAUUUUGACAAAAAUAUCAGUGGACCGAAAAUUGUUCAAAAUUCAUAAAAAUGCUUGGAAAAACAUCAAAAAAUGAUAAAAUAAACAAGAAUACACAUGUUAAAGUUAUUUUGUAAGUGUAAUUGAUAUAGGUAUGUAUUAUUAUUAUUUUUAAUUAACUUAUUUAUUUAUUAUUGUUUUAUUGCUUUCUAUUUGUGUAUAUCAAUUGGGGAAUUGGUGGAACUCUUACAUAAAAAUCAUUUUUCAAAAACCUUCUUUUGAUCAACUUAUUCAAUUUAUUGCACACCUGAAAAUAAAAUUUGAUUUGACCUAUUUAUGAUGUUUUUAAAAAAAAAUUUAGUGAUUGUAUGAUAUUUUACACAUCUUGAAUAUGAAUUUAGAACUUUGUUUGAAUUAAAAAGCAAUUCUAAAAUAGAAGAUAUAAAUGAGUCUUUUAGGGAUUCUGUUUUCACUCGAUUUUGGACAUUCAAAAUAUUUUUGUAAAAAUAAGUUAUUAGGUGACCUUGUAAUUUUUAUUUGAUUCUAGACUUCUUGAAAUUGACUUUAGACACAUAAAAUAUUGAAAAUAGUUUCCCUAAUCAAAAGAUAUAUAUAUAUUUUUUUCUUGCUGCAUUCAUUGUACUACCCUAAUUUUGAACAGAGGAGUUGUUUGAUUGUUUUUAAAAUUAAUUCAUGUGCCUUCUGAUUAUAUUGUCUUUAUUUUUCUUGUAAAGUAGACAUUCUGAACAUGUUGCGUAUUUUUUUUAUGAUUUUGUGGCACUUCUAUGUUAGUUUAAAAAAUCAGUUUAUGAAUACUAUUGAAUUUUGUUUUGGUUUGGACCUUUAGAGAUGUUUCUAUAAACUGGAAUCAAUCGAAGCUUUACUAAAUUGCUUGGCUUUUUGGUUGAUAAUCUAGACAUAUAGAAGAGGCCUCCGAAAAUUUUUGUAAUUAAAAUCCACUUCUAGAAAUGUUUUUAGGAUUUAUUCUUUAAAGGUUCUUAUUGUGAUCACAUGUUGGGAUUUCUAUACAAUGUUUAACUUACCUUUUAACUUGGAGUUAAUUGAUAUGUCUUUACUUGAUCUUGGCUUUGGUAUUGUAAUAUAAACAUAAUGAGGAUGUCAUAUGAUUCCUUUUAUGUUGAAAUGAUGUCUCUAGAUAUUUGUUUAGGAUUUUUCAAGUGAAUGCAACUGUUCUACCCAUUUACUUCAUGUUUUUGUCUUAGUUACUAACUUUGAUACUUAUGGCUACCUAGAGUAUUAGUUUAAAUUUAAUAAUGAGCUUAUAUGUAUGUCCUAGGUGAUAGAUGAUAUUCUUUUGGAAUCUUGCUUUUUUUAGCUAUACAAAUGUUAUAUAUAUUAGUGUUUUUUUUUUAUCAUAGUUAUUUAUUAUCAUAAAUUGUUCUAACCCUAUUUCAUCACGUGUAAGCACACUAUAAGUUAUGCAUACUAUCCAGGUAUGUCUCUCACACCUUUUAUCCCUAUAAUUAUGCAAAUAUGCAAACUUUGAGCGUGCAAAUUCAGAUAUAUGUUGUUGCUUUGUAUGUUUUGUUUGUUACUUGAUUAUUUGAAUGGGAUGAAAUGCAUGGUGUAUGCUAUAUUUAUUAAACUAACUUCAAUAUUUUCAUGAAAGCGCUUUGGGACGUAGCUCAAGUAUGCAAAUCCCUUCUUCCUACAUGAGUGUUUCUUGUGGUAUGAUUGUUUGGUUAUGAAUAUUAUGUUGUUUACUCUUAAGCUUUAUCACCUUUGCUUCAUUUGCAGUCUCAAUCAAGCAAUUAAUUGUCAUCCUUCCCUCAACCUAGCUAAUAGAGACCUUUUUAGGGUUUAGAGGGGUUCUACACUUUAAGGUAUCUCCCUAAUAGGUAACUUGAUCCCUAGACCUAGAUUCGGGUUUUUCAAAGACACGUUUUUUCAAAAGUUUAAGGAGUCCUUUUUUCUUAGGGUUUUAGUUUCUUAUUUUAUUUUUCCUUAAAUAAAAUAAUAAAAAUAAGUGGCGACUCCAGUUUUUUAUAAAAUACAAUUUUUCACCCAAAAAAAACGAGUCUUGCCGAUUGAGUGGGGAUGCAUGUGAAAAAUAUGGGUCCACAGUAUGGUUGAUGAUGAAAAUAUUAGUAAAUACAGAUAUAUCGAUAUUUGGAUUUUAAGGAUACAAAAUAUGAAUUUUGGAAGUGCACACUUAGAAUUAGGAUAAGAAAUAUUUGGUUUCAUUCAAUGAGAACAAUUUAUACAUAUUAUAUGGGAAUAGUGCUUUAGUGCCAAAAUGAAUAUCGUUGUGGUUUAAUCGCAUUGUUAGACAAAGGGAUCCCAUUUUGUUGAAAGGAUUGAUAGUAUUGAUUGUAAGUUUGAACAUGUCAUGCAUAAAUUUAUGAUAUUAAUCUAUUUAAUUGAAAUGUAUUUAAUGAUGUAAAAUAAAUUAUGAUACAUGUAUGAUUUUUUUUAAUAUUUAUAUUAUUUAUAUUUAAUUAUCAUAUAAAUAAUAUAAAAAAAGACUUACUAAGAAAAAUAUAAUGAUGGUUGGUAAUCAAUUAAAAUAAAAUGAUUAGAAUUAAUUUAUAUAUUAUUCUCUUAAUAUUAAAAUUAUAAUUUAUUUAAUAUAGUAAUGUUUGUUUAUAUACAACAAAGUGCAACGUUGGCCCAACGGCUGCCAAAAGUUCAAUUUGAACUUUUUAACUUGGGUUCAAGUUGGCCAAGUAAGAUGGCAAGAGGAGCAUGAAAAUAUUGAUAGAAAAAUUGGGAAAUUUUUGAAAAUAUCAUCGAUAUAUCGGCUGAUGAUAAUCAGUGAUCGAUUUCAUAUUUAGCCCUCUUUUUUGUCCAUGUGCAUACUUGAUGGUUAAAGUGCCCAUGACUCCAUUCCUACCUUUUUAAAACACCUCAAUUCCUUGCUUAGUGCCCCACCAAUUGAAAAGUCUAUGAUAAAAUUGUUGGUCAGUCUUUCCUUAUCAUAUUUGGUAUUCGUGGAGCCCGAUACCUAAUAUUGUAGCAAAUCCCAUUGAAACUUUAAUCAUUGUUUAGAUCAUGAUGGUCACUAUUAUAUAUUAAGCUAGGCUGCAAAGUUAGAAUGCCAUAUUUGACAUUUCAUCACAUAAUGAAACUUUAUUGUUGCACAUGAAUUUGAUUCAUAAAAUAUUCCAUUUAAAAAAAGUUUAGGAUCACUUUAGUCAAUCAUAAAGCCAUAGAUGUUCAUUAUCAACCAUGGAAACUCAGGUGGAGUCGUUGAUUAAAAGUUUGACAUUGCUUGCUUCUUGCUAAAUGUUCUAGGACUCCCAAUAUAAUCAGCCCAGGUUAAGGUCAUGUAAAUUGAGUUUGGAUUGGGACUUUUGUUGUUCCACUUUCUAGUUGUGUAAGAAUGGCCUAGUGUCCAAGCUGGUCAGAAUAACUUCUUCAAGGGACUUCCAUUUGUGGUACUUUUGAAGUUAAACGUAAUCAUUAUUUAAUUUAUACCUAAAACACACUAGUGAUUGUUGGGGUGAUGAUAGAACAAACCUGCAGUAAUUCAAAAGAAGAAACAAGAAAAAUUACAAUGGAAGUAAAAAGAGCUUCGUUUGUUUAGAGGCUUGCAAAUUGUAACGUCCUAAAGAUAGAAUUUUGGCACCCUGUUCUUGAUUACAAUAGUAAAUGGUGUAUGUCUUUCAUGAUACAACUCUUAAAUGAUUUAAAGAGAGUAAUCUCCUAUUUAUAUCCUUUCAAACCAAGUGUUGUAUUCCCUCUAAAGGUUGUGUCUCCUUCAUUAGACAUGUUCUUUUCAUUCACCAAUUUUCCAACAAUCCUACACAUGAAUGAAAGGACUUAGAACAUUAUUGGACAGAUAGAUGAGAAUGCAUAAGGUAAGGUGUCUUUUGGACUUGAACCUACCUUAGUGAAUAUCCAUCGGAUUUGCUCAGCGACAAAGUGAACUUAAGUCUUAAACUUGUCCUCCUUUGUAGCAGUGAAGAUAAUGGAUAUCACACAUAACUCAUCUAAACACAUUUUGGUUUGUACGUUUAUGUUCUUUUUGGUCCUGAAUAGAUCCUGACUUCAUGAGAACUUUAGAGAAUGAAGCCUUCACAUUCUCAUAGAAGCGACCCCACUUCUACCCUCAUAUAGGUGACAUCAGUUAAAAGUAUUCUGCUAUACUUCUCUUGGUACAAGAUACCGAUGUCAUUAAAUGUAUAACAUACUGUGGACCUCGCAUUGAGCCGAAAUGCGAGGUCCACAAAAUGACGACUCCACUGGGAGAUCAUCAUAAAAUAGCGAACCAAUCAAUCAUCUCAACAUACAUCUCACAAGUGGGGAUAAGCAUGCAACUCCCUGAAGAUCUGUAGAUCUCGCCCGAAAGGGAAUAUGCCCCAGUAUGGCAUCGGAAGUGUGACAGGUCAGAAGAAAAAGUGACAUGGAAUCAUCUGUCAUCGAACAUGUAAUCCCGGUCAUCCGAAUCCAUAACCGAAUCACACCCAUGAUCCAAGAAGUACCUCUCGGAUGAAGAAGCAUGAUGGCAUCCAAGUGCUGAGAAGGGCCGACCUAACUAGAUGGCUUUCGGGAUGCUCCUCUGAAGAAUCAUGAUAAGGCAACGAUCAUGUCUACGUCCCAAUGAGCAUCCAGUGAGUGAUGAUGAUCGUGCAAGUCCGUGAGGACCCAUAAACCUCUAAAUGAAAUGGGGUAUGCCCCAGUGUGGCAUCAGGUGCACGACAUGUCAGAAUAACAAAUGACAUGAAAUCAUCUAUCGUCGAGCACGUGACCUCCGUGAAGAUCCGUAAAUCUCAUCUAAAAAUAGAAAAUACGCCUCGGUAUGGUAUCAAGUGCGCGACAUGUCGGAAGAACAAAUGCCAUGAAAUCAUCUAUCGUCGCACAUGUGACCUCCAUGAAGAUCUGUAAAUCUCAUCCGAAACGGAAAUAUGCCCCAGUAUGGCAUCAGGUGCACAAGAGGUCCAAGGAACAAAUGACAUGAAAUCAUCUGUCGUCGGGCAUGUGACCUCCAUGAAGAUCCGUAAAUCUCAUUUGAAACGAAAAUAUGCCCCAGUAUGGCAUCAGGUGCAUGACAAGUCAGAAGAACAAGUGUCAUAAAAUCAUCUAUCGUCGAGCACGUGACCUCCGUGAAAAUCCAUAAAUCUUAUCCGAAACGGAAAUAUGCCCCAGUAUGGCAUCAGAAUGUAUGGUAGGUCAGAAACCAGGUGACAUGGAAUCAUCUAUCAUCGAACAUGUGACCUCCGUGAUCCAAAUCAAGUCCAAACAACUAGGGAACGUCUCCCAGGAUAAGAAGCAUGGCCGCAACCAAAUGCCUAGAAAUGUGGGCCUGACUGAAUGGCUCCACAGAGGCUCCAUUGGGAGAUCAUCAUAAAAUAGCGAACCAAUCAAUCAUCUCAACGUACAUCUCGCAAGUGGGGAUAAGCAUGCAACUCCUUGAAGAUCUGUAGAUCUCGCCCGAAAGGGAAUAUGCCCUAGUAUGGCAUCGGAAGUGUGACAGGUCAGAAGAACAAGUGACAUGGAAUCAUCUGUCAUCGAACAUGUAAUCCCGGUCAUCCGAAUCCAUAACCGAAUCACACCCAUGAUCCAAGAUGUACCUCUCGGAUGGAGAAGCAUGAUGACAUCCAAGUGCUGAGAAAGGCGGGCCUAACUGGAUGGCUUUCGGGAUGCUACUCUGAAGAAUCAUGAUAAGGCAACGAUCAUGUCUACAUCCCAAUGAGCAUCCAGUGAGUGAUGAUGAUCGUGCAAGUCCGUGAGGACCCAUAAACCUCCAAAUGAAAUGGGGUAUGCCCCAGUGUGGCACCAGAGGUACGAUAGGUCAAAAAUCAGGUGACACCAAAUCAAUCAUCGUCAAACUCGCGAUCCCGGUAAUCCGAACACAACUGAAUCAGACCUACACAUCAAAGAGGCGACUCCCAGAAGAAGAAGCAUGACGAUAUCCAAACAUCAACCUGAUCUCAAACACCGGUCCAAGUAGAGGUUGUCGAAGACGACAUCUGAUCCCAUGGCCUUAGGGUGGUCUUAAGACACAAGACGUAACGUAGGCUAGGGUGAUAGGGUAAUAGAAAUGAAAGGAAACUAGACUCAAAUACCCAACGAUCAGAAAACCAUGCCCUCAUAUAUGAAAUGCAACAUGUAUAGUAAGUCCUGUGAGCCUUGGACUUGAGGAUGCCUAACGUGAAUAUGAUGUCGAUAAGGCAACAAAUGAAGCAAAAUGAACUGAUAGUGAUAUGUGGAAUGAUGAUGUGAAGUGAGUAUCAAACCCGAGAUGGGUUGCUGUAAGAAGAGAAUAAAAUGUGAAGGGAAUGAGAUGAAUCACAAGCAACGAUAAAAACGAUAGCGAAACAAUGAAUAUGUGAAGAAAGGUGGUGAUCGACUAAGAUCAAACAUGAAGUGAAGUCACAUCAAUAAUGAAUGUAAUGAUGGAAAGGACAAUGACUCGGAGUCCUUAGAAGAAGGUCACUCAUCUCUCUCACAAAUAGAUAUGACGAAGCAAUACAAAUAACAUGGGAUCUCAGAGAGCUCACAUACGAACUCCCAAUAACGAACAUACUCGAUAAAAAUGACCCCUAAACAUCAAUAUACAUACUCAAUGAUCGAGAACACUAUGCACAUACACACAUGUGCUUAUUAUUUUUCUUUUUCUUUUCUUUUCAUUUUUUUUUUUUUUUUUUUUUACAUAUAUACAAAUACACAUACCCUGAACAUGAACAAAUGAACCCCAAGGGUGAUGUCGAUAACGGAUGGACACCGACCCAAGUGCUAAGGCAACCCAAAACUCUCUCAAACGAGAUGACCUUCUCAAACUAAGGAUCUCUAAACCAAUGUCUGCGAGAGAGAUGGUGGAAAUGAUGUGACUAUCCUCCAUGUGAUGAACUGAGGAGGAUCACCACUCAGGGUGGAGAGAAUAUGAAACAAACAAGUAGUAGAUAGGAUAAGGAAGAAAAGACGAGGAACACAACCAACGAGAUGAGAUGAAAAUGCAGAGGUGCAGUGAUAGGGAAAAGAUAAUGAGAAAAACGUGCCCCUAGAUCCAAGGCUCAUGAAACCCCCAAACAAUGCAUGCAUACACUAAAGGGCCCCUAUCCCGGCGUGAAAAUGUGAGCAAGGCGAUAAGAAAGAAAGGCCAUAAUGCGCAUGCGAGGCUCAAUGGGCUAGCAACGGACUAUGUAUCACAAAGGAAUAACAAGGUAAUGGCUAACCGAAAUGAUGGCCACCCAUCCUACAACCAUGGUCUCAAACAUAGUACCUCUUUAGCUGAUCCACAUUGGUUGGCUUUGAGAAUCAGUUUCCAUCUAAAUCCAUCAACCAUGCAGCGCCCUCUGGGGUCAACUCCCUGAUGAAAUAAGGUCCACUCCAGUUGGGUCUGAACUUCCCUCUAGGAUCUCUAAUCAAUCCUCUGAUGAACCUCAAGACUAAGUCACUUCUCUAUAAUGGUCAAUCAACAAUCUCUGCUAUCUUCCCCUACCAGCGGGAGAUGAAGGAAGAAAUGGACUCAUCUGAUCUCUGUCUGAAACCCUCAAGCUCUCUCCUCGACACAUCUACGAUAGUACUAAAUGAAAACUGUCAUAGAAACUCCUAAGCUAGGUCAUCACAUGUCCUGUGUCACGAGGACUCCAAAGAUGCGAACUAAUACUAGGUUGCGCCACUCAGAGAUAAAAGAAACAUGAUGAUCAUCUGUGACUCGUCUAACCCAUGGACCCUCAUCACAGUACUGUAGAGUCGAAGAUGAAUACAUGGACAACCAACGCCCGUGUACCUCUCAAUGUCAAGCAUCCUGAACUUGGCUGGUAGACUAGCUACUAGUAUACUAUCAAGAUCAUCCCAAGUCGAUGAACUGUCAGAUACUCUCAACUACCAGAUACGCUACUCAAUACGAUCCAUACAUGAAUGAGUAUCCUUAAGGACUGUCUACUCUGCUGACUGUCUAUCUCCUGCCUGAGACUAGCCAAGGUCUCCUAAAUAGAAGCCAUGGCGGCCAUGAACGGAUCAACUGUGACAACCCACUGAUUCAUGUCUGAUCUCUCGGAAAAGCGAACUAAUAUCCCCUCUACUCUAACCCAAGAUGACAAAUCCACACUGAGAAUGAAAAACCAAUCCUAAAGAGCAUGAAGUACAAGAUACCUGAAUAAAAUCCAUGGCGUCUGUAAACUAGCCAACUGUGACAACCCGCUGAUUCAUGUCUGAUCUCUUGGAAAAGAGAACUAAUAUCCCCUCUACUCUGACCCAAGAUGACAAAUCCACACUGAGAAUGAAAAACCAAUCCUGAAGAGCAUUGAAGCACGAGAUAUGGUAGGCACAGGGAAAACAUGGAAGAAAUGCUAGUUUGAAUUGGAAUGAGCAGGGCAUAAAAAACGAAGACGGACCGUCUGAUCGUACCCAAACUCGUACUGAUCUCGGUGCACUCUCACUAGAGACUAAAAGAGGGAAUACUGAAUCCCAACUAUGAUCAAAGAGGCUCUGAAAGCCCUCAGACGCACCCACGUGUAGGGAGGGAGUCCUAAUUGAAGGAUCUACGGCUCAACCUACGCGGUCAGGGUGGCCCUAAAAGGAUAAAGGGUGGACUUUAAAGGAUCCCUAGUAGAAGCGAUCAUACCCUCCAGCGGUAGGCAACCCUCUGCACGCCUCCGAAGAGAAGGGGCACUUCCAUGCAAGGUGGUCAUCACCUCCACACAUGCACUACCUCAACAUCCCAGGGGAUUUCCUAUGGUGAAACCUCUCAAACUCUCAACGCUCAAUGGUCAACUAGAGUGCACAGUGAACGGUGUGGGUGCAUCCGAUAACCCUAGGAAGCUAAAACAGAAAAUGAAACACACUGGCCACACAAAUAUUCAUGAAACCUAGCUUUGGGCUAUAUGGGUCUUCAAUGAUUGGAAUCCAAUCGACAUCAAAGUGUCGCUCUCCUCCAGAAUACUCCCGUGCAUCGAUAUAGCCCGUCACUAGACCCUACUCCUAAUCUUCGGCUCGGUCAGAGAGCAAGCACAUAGAAGGUCUCACACUUGCAAUAGUGAGAACCAAGAAGAAAUGAAUGACCGAAACCAAGAGAGUUGGAGGUAAAAGGAUAUAUGUGCGGCCCACAGAGACAAGCGACAUGCAAUCACGCAGAAGGAGGGCAGUCAUGCAACAUGCAAUCAAGUAGAAUCCAGGAUAUAUCACUCAUGUCCGCGCAAAAAGCUAUGACUAUCAGGACGAAUAACGAUACAAACAUCAUGCUCAAAAGACGAUCAAGACAAUAUGCAAGCUAGAAGAAACCACACAGCCAGUCAAACGACGUAUAAUAGUGAGUCUAUGCAUGUGAAGUGAGCAGAAUAAUCAGGAAGAGAUAGAAUCGCUAUACCAAGCAAACAAGAUGAGCAAUCUAUGAUAAUCAGCAUGUCAAUGUACCAAACUAAUCUAGCAAUGAAGUACAGAAAAAGCGACAUCUGAAGCCCCAAUCAAGAUAAACAAUCAUAUCAAUGUCACAACGCAAUAUCCAAGCAUGCAUCAAAAACUCCCAAUGUGCAAUCAAGAGAUGGGUACUCACUAAUCGACUCAUCAAAUGUCAUGUUUACUUCAUCUUAAGUUCAAGCUUGACCCUCUAAACAUCCCCAGUGGAGUCGCCAUUUUGUGGACCUCGCAUUUCGGCUGAAUGCGUUUCCCAAUCAAUGGCGAGCUCAAUUUUUAUUUAAAAAAAUGAUUUUUAUUCAUUAAAAAUCUGACUUGGAGUCGCCACUUAUUUUUGUUUUAUUUUUAAAAAAGGGUAAACAAAAUAAGAAAGAAAACCCUAAGCGCGACUCCUUAUUCUGGAAAAGGUGGUCUAUGAAAAACCGGAUCGGGCUCGGGGGUCAGGUUACUUAUCGGGAAGGUACGAUAUGAACCGUAGCACCCCUCUAAGUCCCUGAAAUCAGGUCUCUACUAAUAUAAUGAAGCUGACGCUGCAAUCAAUGAGAAAGUCAAUGGAUACUCACCUUAAUCAUGUACGACGUGGGAAGCAGAGCAUGUAUAAAGAAUGAACAAAAUAUGAGUGGAUGCGUACCUGGUCCUCUAGUCACGAAUGUGCUAUCAUGAAACAGGAUUAGUGAAUGACGAAUAGAUAAAAUUAUGCACAUGUCAAGGAACAGAAUAAAUCAAACAAGCAUGGUAAAUAAAUCAAUUAAUCAAUCAGUCAGUCAUAAAAUCACAUAUGUGGGGCCCCCACCAAAGCCCGAUUGAUCUUGCCUGAAUUAAUCUCGCGAAUCCCAUUAUUUCGGAAUUAUGAAGAUUCAUCAUUCUUGCUUAUGUAAAAAUCAAAAGAAAUAGAACAUUAUUUAAAAAUCGAAGUGGAAUUAAAGCUAUUCGAGAGAAAACUGGAUUUUUGAGAUUUAUUUGGAAAUUAGAGUCUCGAAAAUUAUUUGAAGAUUGGAGUCUUGAAAAAUUAAAUUUAAGAAUUGGAAUUUUGGAUAUUAAAUUUAAAAGAAAUUAGAAUUUUGGAAAUGGGAAAUUAAGUUCAGAAAUUGGAAUUUUGAAGAAUUGUUUAAAAUGGAAUUUCAAAAUAAAUAACUAAAAUAAUAAUAAUUAAAUAGAUUAAUGUGAAUUUUGGAAUUUUGGAAUUAGAAAUUAAAUCGGGAGUCGAAAAUUUUAAUGAAUUGUUUAAAAUCAAAUUUUAGAAUAAAUAAAUAAAAUAAUAAUAAUUAAAUAGAUUAAUGUGAAUGUUGGAAUUUUGGAAUUAGCGGAAGUGGAAAUCUUAAUGAAUUGUUUAAAAAUUGAAUUUUAGAAUAAAUAAAUAAAAUAAUAAUAAUUAAAUUAAUUAAUGUGAAUAUUGGAAUUUUCAGAAAUAGAAAUUUAAUUCGGAAAUCGAAAGUUUUAAAUGAACUGUUUAAAAUGGAAUUUUAGAAUAAAUAAAUAAAAUAAAAUAAUUAAAUAGAUUAAUGUGAAUAUUGGAAUUUUUGGAAUUAGAAAUUAAAAUCGGAAGUGGAAAUUUUAAUGAAUUGUUUAAAAUGGAAUUUUAGAAUAAAUAAAUAAAAUAAUAAUAAUUAAAUAAAUAAAUGUGAAUAUUGGAAUUUUCAGAAAUAGAAAUUUAAUUCGGAAAUCGAAAAUUUUAAAUGAAUUGUUUAAAAUGGAAUUUUAGAAUAAAUAAAUAAAAUAAUAAUAAUUAAAUAGAUUAAUGUGAAUAUUGGAAUUUUUGGAAUUUAAUUCGGUAAUCAGAAGUUUUAGAAUAAUUUGGUUUAGAAUGGAGCUUUGAAAUAAAUAAAUGAAAUACUAACGAUCAAAUAAAUUAAUGGGAAUAUGAGAAUUCGAAAAUUGGAAUUAAACGUUAAAAAUCUGAAUUUUGAAGUGUCAUUUGAAGAUUGAAUUUUUGUAAGUUGGGCUUGGAAAUUAGAAAUUUGAGAGUUUAUUGAGAAAUGAGUGAUUUAGAGAAAGUGAACUAUAUAAGGUGGAAACAAUCAGGUGGGCCAGCUUGAAAUGAGUAUGGGCCGAUCUUAAAAUGGAUGGACAAAUCAUGGGGGUCUUCCAUUAUCAAGCUCGGAUUUAGGCUUCAUCCCAAGCCCACAUCCAUUAGCAGAAGGACCCAAGCCUUUUCACCAUCAUAUUUGGGUUUGGGGCUUCAUCUCAGGCCCAAAUCCACUAGCAUGGUGGCCCAAACCUCCAAGACCAAUAGCAGCCGUAGGCAUCUCCCCAUGCAAGCUUGCAGCCUGUCAUUCUCCUCGUCGCCACCGGCGAGGAGCUCCGGCUCAACGUCGCUAGUGGGGGUCGCUUCCGGGAUUUGAAGCAAAUAUAAUAGGAAUGGGAGAAUCAUGCGUAGAGGUAUUAAGAAAAACUAUAAAAUGUUCUUUAUUGGCAUUUCAUCAAACAGUCCAUGUGCAUAAAUCCUCAUCCCGUAUUUUACUUGCAUCAACAAGAACUUGUUCCCCAAAUACUCAUCCGGACCAAACCCACUACUGAUCAUAUAAUUAGACAUCUUUUCCACCCCUUUAAUUGAUCUCAAUCCAAUACACACACUCCCUAACGCAUCAUAUGCCUCGCCAUCCAUAUAAUAAGCACCAAGCAGGAACCAAAAUUAACUAGAAAUAGAAUAAAGCAAAUUGAAAUUAGGUAUAUAAAACAUGCAGAAAUCUUACUUGGACCGAAGCUUCAAACUCCUCCUCAACUCAGCUUGAGACGCCC